UUUUUUAUUGCUCUGUAUCUCCAUUAUUGCUUCAUAUCUUGCAUCUUCCAGCUGUCGAUUUUAUCUUCUUCUAUUCCAGUAGUUGAAUUUCUAGGACAAUAUUAUCUUCUCCAUUACAUUUUGAACAUUGAUGGUCUGGAUAUUUAUGUCCAAUUAACUUGCAAUAUCUAGUGAAUAAUUCUUCCGAAAUAAUUUUUUCUCUAAUGGCUCUGGCGUUAGGUUUUUUCUCUGGAUUGAGUAACGUCAAGAUUCAUUGCCUAACGUCUUCCAUAUCUGCUUCUCGUAGUUCCUUUGAAUUUGAGUAUACUAUUACAUUACCUCUUAAAUAAUAACUCCAUAUGAGAUUUCUGUUGCGAUAAGUGUUUGCUAACUCUUGAAGAAUUGUGGAUAAUCCGAUAAUUCUCUUAUUUGCAUAAAAAUUUGGUAUCUCAAUUCUAGGUAUUUCUGAUUGUGGAAUAAUAUCUUCUGGUAUAAUCAUAUCUCGGGUCAUUCCUAUUUUUACAACUUGUAGAGGUGAUUUAAGUUCAUCAUACAAUAUCUCUGUUGUUGCCGUGUAAAAUUUUAUAAAAAAUAGGUUACCUUUGGUUAUUCUUUUAAAAAUGUUAAAUGAAUCAUAUAUUUCUGAUAUAUUGGAUAUUUCAUUUCCGUCUUGGGUAUAUAUGUUCUGAUAUAUUGGAUAUUUCAUUUCCGUCUUGGGUAUAUAUGUAACUAAGUAGUCCAUAUUCGUAACAGGUUUUAACUAGACUUGGUUUGGUUUUGGGUAAAGCAAUUAGCUUAUUGUAUUCGAUUAGCUUCUGGGUUAUGUAGUUCGUAUGUGGUUCUUGGAUGUUUAUAGCUCUGGGGUUGGUAUUUAAGAAGGUUUGUAUUUUGUAAAUAUUUUCUAUGUAUGCUCGGGCUGUAUAGUUGUAGGUCUUUUUGUCUUGGUUUAAACCAUCUCGGUAUGUGGUAAUUUGUGGGGGUAUGAACAUAAGAUCUUUUGGUGUAUUUGGAAUAAAUGGUUUAUCAAAUAGCCUAUUUAGGUUCAUAUUUGUGUUUUUUCUAACUCCUUUGCUUGUACCUACAGAAGCAGAUUGAUAAACGUUAAGGGUUUUAUGGAGUGUCCCAACGUCUCCUUCUAGCUCUGGAAUUUUAAUGUCUUCUGAUCGACAUAGCCCUGCACACUGCUGAGUUAGCUGAUUUAUAGCUAUAGACUUCAGUUUAACUUCAUUAGUCUUUAGCUUUUCUAUUUCAUUACCCAUACUGUCCACUUUCAUUGAAAGCGUAGUUAGGGUGUCGAAUAUCUUUUCUAGAGUAUCCUCUUCUAUUAUAUCAAUCUGUGUAGCUUUGUCUUGAUAUAUAAUCUGCAACAACAAUUUUGAUAGUACUAAUUACUUCAAUUGUAAAUGUGAAAUUUAAUAUAUUCAAGACUAGUCUCCAAAUCUCUUUUGUUGUAACUGAAUUUUGUAUUUUCUUUGUUAGCCACCAACAGAAUACACUAAUUACUUCAAUUGUAAAUGUGAAAUUUAAUAUAUUCAAGACUAGUCUCCAAAUCUCUUUUGUUGUAACUGAAUUUUGUAUUUUCUUUGUUAGACACCAAUGUACCUGUGUAUUUUGUUGGUGGCUAACAAAGAAAAUACAAAAUUCAGUUACAACAAAAGAGAUUCGAAGACUAGUCUUGAAUAUAUUAAAUUUCACAUUUACAAUUGAAGUAAUUAGUACUAACAAAAAUAUUGUUGCAGAUUACAUAUCAAGACAAAGCUACACAGACUGAUAUAAUAGAAGAGUAUACUCUAGAAAAGAUAUUCAACACCCUAACUACGCUUUCAAUGAAAGUGGACAGUAUGGGUAAUGAAAUAGAAAAGCUAAAGACUAAUGAAGUUAAACUGAANNNNNNNNNNNNNNNNNNNNNNNNNNNNNNNNNNNNNNNNNNNNNNNNNNNNNNNNNNNNNNNNNNNNNNNNNNNNNNNNNNNNNNNNNNNNNNNNNNNNNNNNNNNNNNNNNNNNNNNNNNNNNNNNNNNNNNNNNNNNNNNNNNNNNNNNNNNNNNNNNNNNNNNNNNNNNNNNNNNNNNNNNNNNNNNNNNNNNNNNNNNNNNNNNNNNNNNNNNNNNNNNNNNNNNNNNNNNNNNNNNNNNNNNNNNNNNNNNNNNNNNNNNNNNNNNNNNNNNNNNNNNNNNNNNNNNNNNNNNNNNNNNNNNNNNNNNNNNNNNNNNNNNNNNNNNNNNNNNNNNNNNNNNNNNNNNNNNNNNNNNNNNNNNNNNNNNNNNNNNNNNNNNNNNNNNNNNNNNNNNNNNNNNNNNNNNNNNNNNNNNNNNNNNNNNNNNNNNNNNNNNNNNNNNUCUAGUUAAAACCUGUUACGAAUAUGGACUACUUAGUUACAUAUAUACCCAAGACGGAAAUGAAAUAUCCAAUAUACCAAAAAUAUAUGAUUCAUUUAACAUUUUUAAAAGAAUAACCAAAGGAAACUUAUUUUUUAUAAAAUUUUACACGGCACCAACAGAGAUAUUGUAUGAUGAACUUAAAUCACCUCUACAAAUUGUAAAAAUAGGAAUGACCCGAGAUAUGAUUAUACCAGAAGAUAUUAUUCCACAACUAGAAAUAUCUAGAAUUGAGAUACCAAAUUUUUAUGCAAAUAAGAGAAUUAUCGGAUUAUCCACAAUUUUUCAAGAGUUAGCAAACACUUAUCGCAAUAGAAAUCCCAUAGGGAGUUAUUAUUCAAGAGGUAAUGUAAUAGUAUACUCAAAUUCUCAAAUUCAAAGGAACUACGAGAAGCAAAUAUGGAAGACGUUAGGCAAUGGAUCUUGACGUUACUCAAUCCAGAGAAAUAACCUAUCGCCACAGCCAUUAGAGAAAAAAUUAUUUCGGAAGAAUUAUUAACCAGAUAUUGCAAGUUAAUUGGACAUGAAUAUCCAGACCAUUAAUGUUCAAAAUGUAAUAGAGAAGAUAAUAUUGUCCCAGAAGUUCAACUACUGGAAUAGAAGAAGAUAAAAUCGACAGCUGGAAGAUGCAAGAUAUGAAGCAAUAAUGGAGAUACAGAGCAAUAAAAAGAAGACGGAGCAAUAAUAAAAAGAAGACAAGUUAAUGCUAGGAAGUGACAUAAAGAAGACAAGUUAAUGCUAGAAAAUGACAUGGGAGAUUAGAUAUCUUUCCUAAUUCAUUUACGUAAAUUAUUAGUUACUUUUUGACUUUUUGGCAAAAUGUCAUUACUAAGUUUUGUACUCUUGUAGAAAUAAUUUAGGACCUUUGUAAAUUUUUUUUUCUACUUUUAUAGAUAGGUGUAAAGACUUUUGUAAAGUAGGUAGGUAAUAGAUUAGGACAGAUGUAAAAAUGUAAAACGUUUACGGGUUUUCUUAAAAAUAUAAAUAGAAGAGCAUUUGCUCAGAAGAAGGCAAGCCUUCGUACGAUUGAAGCAAAAAAACUCUCUUGUCUACAACAAAUAAUUUGAUUAUUUAAAAAACAGGUAUAUUUCAAUGAAAAAAUUUAUGGAGGAACAAAGCUUAGAAUUAUCAAAACUACCACAACAGGUAUAUUCAUUUACUAUUAUGAAUAGCUAAAUUCAUAAAUUCCUAACAAUCAUGAUAUGAUAAAAUAAGUUCAUGUUAGUUGUUUUAUAGUAAAAUUAUUCGAAAAAUAGCAUGUUAAGAAGUUUAUUAGCAAAGUGAAAAAGGAGAAAAAUCUCUAAGAACUAUGUCAUCCUAAAGGUGAAACCAGUGAGGCAAGAAAGCCGUAAUAGGGGAGUAACCAGAGUAGAGGCGGCGUUUAAGAGAAAAGUAUCCAGAUUAUCAUGCUAAUAGUGACCGAAGAAUAUGUUAUUUAAGAAUAAUCUAUAGCAAUCUAAAGUGAUCAUAUUUUGUUAUGUGCAUGAUUGAAAGGAAUAUUUUGAAAAUAGCAAUUUUAUGAAAAAUGGAUGAUUAUUUAUCUGACGAAAUGGUAGAUAAAUUUAAAAUAUUCGUUUUAUAUGUACUUUAGAAUAUAGAAAUAGUAGAUAUAAGAAAAAUCAUAUUGAAAAAAAUAUUUGAUAGAUAUUUUAUAACUAGAAUUAAUUAUAUAUCACACCUACCAAACUACUCUUAUAAAUACUUACAUACCAAACCCACAUACUAAUUAUGAUAAAUUAUGUAUUUAGAAUCUUGGAAAAUAGACAUAAAAUACAUACAAUUUCUUAGUAAAAAUAUAGACAAUUAAUGAGAUUAAAACAAACAACUACAAGAUAUUAUAAUAAAGUAUUUAACCAAUUUUAAAUGAUAGAUAAUCUUAAAAUAUUAAUCUAAACAGUUAUACCUAGAUAAUUAUCUAGAUGGAUAUUAUUCAGAUUAAAAAAUGUUAGAAUAUAUUAGAAAAACUAGAGAAAACCAAGAUAAUCUAAAUGAAGAAAUUAAUUAUAGAAACUGAAUUAGAAAAAUAAUGGAGAAUCUAAAAGAAAAAUUAAUAUGGAUAGAAGAAACCCUAGAAAAUUUAGAAAAAAAUACAUGUGAUAAUUUAUAUAAUUUAAAAAACUCGCUAUGAGAAGAAUAACACAAGAUAAUAAAUAGCAUUGAGAACCUAGAAUUAGAUAUACAUUACAGUACAAUUAGGAUAACUUAUUAUACAGAAAUUUGUAAUUCUACAAUUACUACAGGAUAAAAUGAUAGACUAUAAAUAUUUAAAAUAUUGGAGACAAAAUAUGAAAGAAAUAAUAUUAUUAGAAAAACUUAUGAAAGAUAAUCUAAUUGAAUAUUUUGAAACAAAAGAUAUAGAAUAUUUAGAAUACCUUCAAAAUAAUAUAGAAGAAUUACAAAAACUAGGGGAAAAAAAUAAAGAAUACUAUAGUAAAGCAUUUAACCAAUUAUCAUAUAAUCACCCCCAAGAUAUGAAUCUGAAUAUCGAUAAAACUAACAUAAAUAUAUACAAAAUAAAAAUAUUUAGAGAAGUUAAGAAAUAUCCACGCAAAAAUAAAAAUAAAUCCAUUAUAUUUAUAAUAGAUGUAUUUUACCACACAAGUUAUCCGCACCCCUACAAUUGGCCAUUAAAUCAAUGAUAGAAAGCAUAUCAGUUAGAGUGGUACAUUAUUUUCGGGAAGGCAACACUAACUGAUUUUUUUACUAACCUAAUUUCUGAUUUCGAAGGUGAUUUUAAGUAUAACAGUUUAAAACAGGUGCCAAUGGGAGGAAGAAAUAUAAUUAAUCUAGAUAAAAAUGGGACUCCAAAUAUUAGAAGAACCACACAACAGACAUGAGACAAUAACAACAGCAACAAAUACAGAAGGCAUACAUCAAUCACAUCAGAUGGAGAAACAAUAUCAAGCAGAUUGGACAAUCAAGGCUCGUAAACACUAAGAAGAAUUAGAGUGUUACCUGGAACAUGCAACUGACUAGAGCAUACUCCUACUUGAAAUACAGUGGGGAAUCCAGUGUUGAUUAACCUCAAAUUACAAGAAUAAGGAAGUGUAAAAAGGUUAUAAACUAACCAAAUCGGGGAUUCUAUAAGGAGAUGAUGAUACCUGUCGUUUGAAAUGACUUCCUUUGAAUACAAAACCUGUAUCCAGUGAGAGUUUGAGACGUCGAUGGUCUGAGUAUUCAAAUAACAGCUAGGUCAGAUCCAUAAAAAUCCCUAGAGACCAUUAGAAAUAAUCCAGUACAUCUACAAAGUCUUUAAAACCUAAAUUACUUGGAUCUAUCUUCUAGAUAAGGUGCUUGUAUUAGCUUCCACAGAAGUUUAAUCCACCGAUCUAGGAGAGGGAAGAAAGUAAGAUAACGGUUAGAGACUUAGCUUAGAUGAUGAGGAUGAAGCUGGUGGUGACCUGAGAAUCAUAUGCGACAGAUAUGAAGUAUUGGUAUCACAAAGCUGAUCGGAGAAGAUGAAGAGACAACAAGAGGCGGAUGAGGAAAUUUACUUUCCUAAUUGACCUGGUGGCCUUUUGUAUACCUUAUCUUUGUUUUUUGGAUUCGGGUUAGGUCGCUUUUGGGCCUGAUCCGAUUAAUGUAAAGAUUCGUUUUAUUUUAUCAAAUGGGCUUUGGCCCGAUAUAUAUAAAAAUUGAUUUACUUUUCAAAUUUUAUGUGUGUCAUAUAAAUUGAACAAAAAAAUAGUAUAUAUUGAGCUCGCAUUUGCACGACUGGUGUAUCUGGUACUCUAAUAAUUAACGAGAGUCGAAAAAAUACCUUGUUGAAAAAGCAUACUUUUGAAUUGUGAUUUUAGUGAAGGAUCAAUAUAUAAUCUUGACAAAAACAAAAAUUAUACAUUCAGAGAAAAUAAAGGAAUAAGAAAAAGAAGAUCGCUGCUUCAUCGUCAUUUUCAACCAAGCAACAGAAUAAUUUGAUUGCAUCUGAACAAACAUUUGAAAUUUGAAUUGCCAUGCUCACAUAAUUACACCAGCACUUAAGACAGCUAAGCACUGUGAAUGAAACAUUAUCAGUGUUGAGUGUAUCUCUUUUAAAAGAAAAAAAAAAUGAACUAGCAUAAAAUACUUGGAGCCACAAUCAACUGCAAAGCUACCACUACAAUAUAUUUUAAGGGGUGGCAUAAAGAUAUAUACCUACGUCUAUAUCUUCAAUAUAUUUAAAAAUAAUUUAAAUUUUUUUACCCUUUCUUAAAAAGCUUCACAAUAGACAAAAUAAUUUUUUCAUAAAAAAAAAACAUGAGCUAUACUAAAAAAAUGUAUGAAAAGUUAAUGUAAGUCGAUUUUAUUUUUCCUUUUGUACAUUAAAAAGAAACUCCAACAGAUAUGAUAAAAGUAAAAAGUAGUAUUUAAAUAAUAUCUAUAUUAAGCAAAUAACUCAUCAUGUGCAGUAGGGGUGGGCAUUCGGUAAUUCGGUUCGAUUUUAUUUUGUUUUAAUUCGAUUUUCGAUUAUUGUAAUAGAUGUACCGAAAAUCAAACCGAAUUUGUUCGGUUUGAUUCGAUUUAUUUAAGUUCAGUUCGGUUAUGUUUCACUUUAAUAAUUUCGGUUUUUCAGUUUUGGGCUUAUUUAAUGGGUUAAAUUAAAUUUGUAAAUUGGACUAUUUUUUAAGAUUAAAAAUUAAUUGGAAUAUAUAAAAUUAAUUGCCCAAACCAUUUUUACACAAAAAAAAAAAACACUAGCCCAAUUUUUUGUUUCCACUUUUCAGACCAAAUUAAGAAGAUACAAUUACAAAUACAUUACUAAAGCAUUAAACUAUUAAAAUUUAAAGCCAAGUUUAUUGAGCUUGCAACCCCUUGCUUAAUUCAACUAUUGCAGAUUGUCACAUUAUAUUGUCACGUUUGAGGACUUUUUUUUUCAUAAUAUGAAACAACAUAGUGCACUUUUUUUAGUUUAGAAAGUGACAGUGUCCACUUAAAAAUAUAACAAACCAAACUAUAUAUUAUGUUUUUUUUGUCUCCAACUUAAUACGAACUUAGAAAAAAAUAUAGACUACACACUUGACUACAUGAGUCUGAGUCAUCUUUAUCACAUUUUAUGAUUUUAUGGCCAAACUGAUACUAGACUAUUAUUAUACUACACACUUGGAGAAACAAACAAAAAUUAGGAAUCCAAGAAUUUUGAGAUUUGUAAAGUGUUAAGACACUUAGACUAAUAUAGUAAUAACUAAUAAACUUGGGCUGAAUCAACAUUUCGCAAUUGGGCUGUAGUACACUAUUAAAUUAAUUGGGUUGUAGCUUGUAUAUUAAUAAUUUGGUUUAAACCGAAAAUCGAAAUAUACAAAAUCAAUAACCGAAUAUCGAAAUUAUAGAAAAAAAUAAACCAACACAGAACCGAAAUAUUGAAAAAUCGAAUUAGUUCGGUUCGAUUUGAUUUUUCGAUUUUCAGUAUUUAUACUCACCCCUAAUGUGCAGCACUUUUCUGUCGACGUCUUUGUUAAAAAAAACUUCUUUAUUUUAUUAUUUUCACACUCCAAUACUUGAUAACGGAUUCUCAACUCCAAUUGCUUUAUUAAUAUUACACAGUUUGAUUUUUAACUUGAUAUAAUCUAAUUUAUUUUGAAGCUUUAUUUAAUAAUUUUUGUGUUCCAUGUUAAAUUUUACUUUGUUUUUAUUUUCGUGAUAUCCUCUUAUUAAUUAUGUGUAUUUUUUGUUUCAAUCAUUUUAAAAAAAUUUAUUUUAUGUGUUUUACUAUUUAUCUUGUGUAUUUAUGAUAGUUGUUGUAUCAAAGCUAUAAUGUUAUCAAGCUCUUGAUAGAGAACUUUCGAUUUUCUUCCAUCAUAAUUUUUUAGGUAUCAUCUUCUACUUUAUUAUAAUUCAUUUUGAAGUAUGUUUUUAAGUACUCUGCUAUUAUUAUUUUUCUUUUUGGGAAAAGGUAUCGUUUGCAUCCCAAACUAUACCUGAAAAGUCGAAGUCACACCUAAACUAUACUAGUGACUUAUUAUACACCUAAACUAUAAAAAAGUGAAACUAUUUACAACCUGUCAGGCUACCACCACUUGCAUGUGGUGUAGUGUUUUACACGCGCUGUCACGUCAGCGCCACGUCAGUAAAAAGUAUCACUUUUUUAUAAUUAAGGUAUGUAAUAGGUCACUUAUAUAGUUUAGGUGUGGAUUCGACUUUUCGACUAUAGUUUGAGGUGGAAACGAUGCAUUUUUCCUUAAUGUUUUUAGCCGUUUACUUUUGUUAUUUAAUAGAUUGGACGCGCCUAAAAUAAGUGUAACACACGCGCCAUAGAAUGGGGGUUGCGAGGAGGUAAUAAUAUCACUUUUAUAUAGUUAAGGCGUGUAAUAGGUCACUUAUAUAAUUUAAGUGUGAUUUAAAUUUUUCUUGUAUAGUAUGAGAUGGAAAUGAUGUCUUUUCCUUUUUUUUUUUUUUUUGAAUUAAAAAUAUUAAAUGCUUCAUGACCAACCAUCAGACUCAAUGAUGUCUGCAACCUUUUUCUAGAAAACCAACAAAACAUCAACGUUUGAGAAAUAAAUAUUUAGUGUUGCGGAGAUAUGCAAAAUUAUAUUCCAUAUAACAUAUAUGAUAAUAUGACUAGCAGAAUAAUAUGCACAGUAAGAAUUUUGGAGAAACCACCCACCGAAAUAAUGAAUGCUAUGUUGGGUUUGAAAUUGAGAGGGUGUCAUACGGAAGCUACUAGUUAUAAAUUAUGAGACGAUAAAUCAGACGACAGAGAAAAUAAUACUAAAAAACAUAUAUUAUUAAUAUGAUUUGGUCAAACGACCUACAUAUAAAAAAUCUAUAUUGAAAAAUAUAAAAUUUAUUGGGAGAAAAUCUCCAUCUAAAUAAUACUACAUUGUGGAUGUUAUUAUGUUAUAAUAUAAGAAGAGGGUAUUCUAUUUAUAGAGUUCCAAAAUCUUUCCUCCACGAAAGAGGUUUGCCAAAUAUAGAAAAGUUUUAUAAUUUUCUUUUAGUAAAAGUAAAAGUAUUUAUGGUUACUUUUAUUUUCCUUACAAGAAAAAGUAUAACUUAAUUUGGGUAAGAAAAUCAGGGCAAAAACCAUAACAUACUAUAAUGGCAUGUAUGUGUAUUCUAAAAUUUAUCCUUGCUUUUUUUUGGUUAUACUAGAUAAUGAAGGGCUCGUUUAGGGCUUAAUAUUACAAUUUUAAAUAUAUUUAUAGCUAUUUAAUUAGCUUUUAAAAAAAUAAUCAUUAAUAUUUAAGAAUAAACACAAUAGAAAAUAUAAGUAGAAAUCACAUAAUAUAAUAAAAUAUAACUUUUUAUUUUUAUAAAAUCAAAUAAUAGCUUACAACUUAUUUAAGUGUUCAUAAUUAACAUUAGAAUAUCAUAUACACUAAUUUUUAUUUUAACAUUAGGUCAAACACAUUCUUUUAGAUUAAACAACUAAUUUUAAUAUUUUUCUUUUUCUACUUUAUUUAAAAAUUAUACAAGAGAAUAGAUUAAAGAUAUCAUUAUUAACAUUUUCUAUGGAAUCAUAUGAAGCAAUAACAGAUCAAAAUUCAUACAUAAAUUGACUUUAAUCACAUUUAAAUUUGUUUUAUGGAUUGUGGUAGGAUAUUUAAAGUCUUUCAGUGUCUUUUGCUUGGUACGUAGCAUUAGCUAUGUUGUCUUCAAAAUUUUAUUCAUCAAUUGUGUCUAUAUUAUCAUCGUCAUCUGUCUUUAGAAUACCUACAAAAUCAAUGCAAAAUAAAUAAAAUAUUAGCAAUAUUUUUUUUUUUUGAUGUUAAGAAAUCGAAUUCUAAAUAAAAAAUAAAAAAACCUAACCCCCCCCCCCUCCUCCCCAUAAAAAAAACUAUGCAUAGAAAAAAAAGUAUAGGAGGAACAGAAGUAAUUUCAAGGGGAUAGGUAUAAACAUCCAUGUAUUUUAGGAGUUUUAAUAAUUUUUUUCCAUUUGUUUUAGAAAAUUAAAGAGGGAAUAAAUUUUAGAUUCCUAUUUGACUUAUAAUAACUAACUAGUCUAAUAUACGUGCGUUGCACGUGUAGCUCCUGUCAAUCAAUAAUACUAUAAAUAAGAAAAAUAAAAUUAUUAAAAGGUAGAUAUUAGAAUAAAGAAUUAGGUAGCAAUCUAAUGAAGAUUUGCAUAUUAACUAACAAGUUAGUCAUUGAAAGUUUUGAUCUUUAUGACUCUUGACACUCAAUCGAGACUCAACCUUAACCGUAAAAUCAACUUCCAAGAUCCUGAUUCCUGACCUGACAUGGGACACGAAUUUGUAUCUUAACCUGUGGUUGAACUUACGGUCCAACUCCAUAUACCUUUAACUGCAAUUCCUGACUCUCGACCUUGAACCAAAUCUGAAGCCCUAGACUCGGGAUUCAACUUUGAUACGGGACCUACUCUAAACUAGAUUUCAAUCCCAAAACUCGAUAAUCGAUCCAUGACUCCAAUCGGGACUCAAGUUUCGAUCCAACUUCAGAUUCAAUUCUCAACAAAAUUAAAUAAAGAAAGAGAUAAAAUUUUAAUUUUUUCAACUACUUCAUUCACCGACGAUAUCUUUAUUUUGGCCAAUAUUCCAAUCAGAAAUUACAUUUUCCUCCAAAAUUCUAUUAGAAACUAAAUUUUUAAUAUAACAUAAAAAUAUAUAAAUUUUUCACGUUGUAUCAAUACAUGCAAUACUUUGUAAAUUUUGUGUAUUGCAUAUGUAUGGGUAUAUUGUUGAUCUAUUCAUUUUUGCACAUACAUAUUUAGAGUGAGUGAACAUUUGAAUCUUUAGUUCAUCCAAGAAAGCCUUGGCUUAAAGUUAGACAUGAUUAGUCUCUUUAAUCAAUUCAUAGACGUAGAAGUACCCAACAUAAAAUAUUUCACUUGAAUCAUAUAAUAAUUUAUUAAUUUAACUCUUUUAUUAUUUUUUUCCUUUUCAUCAUCCUAUCCCACCUAACAUAAAAUAUUUCACUUGAAUCAUAUAAUAAUUUAUUAAUUUAACUCUUUUAUUAUUUUUUUCCUUUUCAUCAUCCCCCCCCCUUAAAUUUGGUUAUAUAAGUAAUUUGACUUAUUUGUUUUUCUAAAUUCUUUAAUCAUUUUUUUUUUAAAUUUAAUAUAAAACUUCUUGGAUAAAAUAUAGGUGAGGUUUAAAUUAUGUCUUUUGCAGUUAAAAUUUUAUAUUUUUUAGUGGAAGAUUUGAAUUCUAAAAAAUCUACACGUAAUUUAAUCAUACUUUAAUCAUACUGCAUUAGAAGUAAAUGGCACAUAAAAGUACGCCAUUACAAAAAAAAUAUGACUCAUAAAGCAAAAAGAAUUUGACAUUUUAUUCGAAUUUAUGACCUAUAUAAAAAGGAGAGAAUAAUAUAUGUUUGCAUAACUAAAGUAACUUUUACAUUAUUUAUUCGAGAACUUGUCUUAUGAACAUUUAUUUUGUCCUCAAAUAUAUUUUGGCUAUUAAAUUAGAGUAGGAAACUGUAGAGAUAUUUAUCAGAAAAGCAGUCAAAUUCGCUAUCUUUAAAGGUAAACUUUAGACACAAGUCAUCCCCACCCGACAUCACCCAAUAUGAAGAAACAAACACACAAAAAGUUAAAAGGAUUUAACAUCUACUUCAUAUAUGUCAAAAUAAUUUCAAUCAUAUACUCCAUAAAUGGUGUAGCUCUUCUGACGAAGAAAAUAUGGAUAAAGCCCCCUUACCUUACAAAGCUCAGCCCUGCCCUUCACACACAAAAAUAUGAAUUGUUAGUGUAAUAAAAUUUUUAUAUUAUCAAAUCAUCUAAAAAUAUUUAGAGACAAAAAGUAGUUAAAUAUGAAAUGUGAAAUUUGGAAAGCAAGACAAAGUUACCUGCUAAAACAAUGAUUUGAUGAAUGUGACUUAAACUCACAAUAAAACUAAACUUGAUGUAUAUACUUAAACUUAAAACAAAACUAAGACAAUUUCACCAACUAAUACUACUGCAGUACGAAAAAAAUUCAACAGAAAACAUCACCACGCUCUUUUUUCUCUUUCAACACUUUAUAAAAGCCUCCCUCUCCCAUUCCUUUUUCUUUUACUUUCCCAAUCAUAUCACUGCAGACUGCAAGAGCUUUAAAAGAUGUUGAAAACGGAUAACAACAUAACACUAUUAGUUUAUUUUCUUCUUGUGAUCAUUUUAGUGGCUGAUCAUAAUCACUAUGCUCUUAAUGUUAAGUCCUAAUUUAUUUUUAAGAAAUUUAGUUGGAGGAAAAAGGUGAAAAGACAGAUUGUCAAAGAGUUUGAAUCACCUUUCUAAGGGUCUUACCUUUUGCUCUUAAUUCGUUGCAACCAUAUAUCUUUUCUAGGAGCUUUCACCUUCGAUCGAACAUUAAUCUAUAAUAUACACUUGAAAUUAAUGAAAUUAUUAUAAACCGCACCUUCAAAGCUCAUCGAAAAAAUAGUUAUAAAAAUAUCUCUGCCACCAACAUUCCUAAACCAAAAAAAAAAGCUGAAAAAAAUAUAAUAUAAUAUAAUACAAUAAAAUACGAUACAUUAUAAAAUAUUAUGUAAUAAAUACCUCUGGACUUGGCCUUUAACCUGGUUGGAGAACUCAUUGAGUACACUGUAAAAACCAUUAUCAACAGUAGCCAAAAACCACUAUCUCAUCACUUUUGGCUCCUCUAACCUCUCCUUAUCUAAUUCGUUCUUCACUGCCUAUAUAUUCAGCCUUAGCUACAAACUUCAAACAUUAUUAAAUCUUACUUAGCAAUCUAAAGAGUCAGAAAACCAAAAGCAAAGAAAACAAGAGUUACAUUUUAGGAGAAAUUAAGUCAAAAUGAGUUCAAGCAGGAGAGAAUGGAUAGUAGCUACAAGUAUUGGAACAGUUGAAGCGUUAAAAGAUUAAGUUGGAUUAUGUAGAUGGAAUUACCCAUUAAGGUCUUUGGCACAACAUACAAAGAAUAACAUAAGGUCUUACAGAAUAACAUAAGGUCUUACCCUCAAGCCAAGAAACUUUCUUCUUGACUAAUUGCAAACAAAGCAGAACAAUCUGAAGUUAUACAAUAUGAUAUAAUAUAAUACAAUACUAUACAUUAUAAAAAAUUAUAUAAUAAAUACCUGUGGUAAUUAAAUGGAUAAACAUGUUACAUGUGUGCUUCACGUCGAAUCGCCAAUCGAUAUAAAAUAUAUAAAAAAAUAAAUAAAGAUAGUCACGUAAAUAAAAAAUUAUUUUUAAACAUCACAUAACAAAUAAUAAAAACAAAAACAACAUAUAGUGAGAAAUUCGAAAACAAACCUGUUGUAAUGGAACUAAUAUUCGAUGUAAAGUAUGAUUACUUUUAUAAAUAAGCAAAUCACGUAAGAGUUUUUUGCUAGCCAUAUUCCAAUUGUGUUGUAUUUGUUUAAAACUAAAAGGAGAGGAUAUAACAACAUUUGAAAUCAUACAAUCACAAUAUCAAUUAUGAAUUACCGAUGUAACUUAAAAAUCAAUAACAAUAAUCUCAUAAGUGUGAUCUAAAAAGGAUAGGAUGUUCGAAGAUCUUACUCUUUGCAUGAAAGUGAGAUUAUUUUCAAUAGUCCCCGAUUCAACAAAACAUAUAAUAGAAUAACGAAUAAAGCAAGUGGUCAAUAGUUGUGCUAGAUUUUGACAAGAAACAAACAAUACGUUGAGUAGGUUGAGAAAUUACCGUAGUGAUGUAACAAUAUGGUCCCUGCGAGCAAUGUUAUAACCUAUUUGUGGUGGCAUUCGAUCUCCAUCUAUCAAAGUUUGCACAGAGACGAAGAAGCGGCCGUGUCAAGUAUGUUAUUUCAAAAUUUGAUCAUAAUAUUACUUAAAUAGAAUUGAUUUUUUUAAUUAUUUUAUAUAAGGUAAAGUUUUAAUUGAUUUAGAAGUCAAUUGUUAUGAUUUCCUAUCUACAUCAAACAAGGACUUUCAUUAAUUUUUGACAUAUAUAGUAUUCUUUUCAUAUAUUUUAGGAGUCAUUAAUUUCUUUUUAUAUAUAUUUAGGGGUCCUUAAUUAAAUUAAAAUUAUAAACAUUCUUUUUUUAUAUGAAGUGAAACUCUAAUUUAUUUAGAAUUGUUAAAUAUUAUUAUUUCUUAUCUAAAUUAAAUAAAUUUUUUAAUUAAUUUGAAAGUCUUAAAUCUUUGGACAAUCAUUAUACCGUCCUUUUUUUUGCUUCUUAAUUUUUUUCCUUUUCAUCCAUAAUUUUCUUUUUAUUACUAUUAAAUUUUUUUCCUUUUCAUGCCUAGCUUUUUUAGGUAGGACUUUCUGUCCCCACUAAAUAUUUGACACAUUUAAUUUUAAAGAGACUUUUUCUUUCCUCUAUUAACGAAUUUCCCCUUAAAUUUUGUUGCUUUUAAUUCCUUUUCACAGGCCACUUCUUAUUUGUUUUUUUGGUAUUAUAUUUUAUUUUUUGAAAAAUUUUCUUCUAUUAUUCUGAUUUUUCCUCAAAUUUCGACAUUUAUAGUUCCUUAUUUAAAUAGAAUUAUAGAUUUGUUUUUUUAUAUAAGGUAAAUUUUAAUUGACUUAAAAGUGUUAAAUAUUAUGAUUUCGUACCUAGAUCAAAAAGGACUUUAAUCAAUUUUAAAAUAUUAAAUAUUAUAUAAUUUAAUAAUAUGAUAAUUGAAGAAAAUACGUUAAAAGACACCUUUGUCUAUUGCAGGGACUUUUAAUAAAGGGCAAAAAGUUCAAAUCACUUUUCUAAGGGUCUUCACACUUUUAAUACAUUAUAGAUAUAGAUUAUAGAUAAGUCAUUUGUUAUAACUCAAAAAGGACUUAUAAGUUAGUAGAAACGUACGAAAAGAUCUCUGAAGAAUAUAUAUAUAUUAUUAAUAUUUAUGUAUAGUUAGAAUUUUAAAGAAUAGUAAAAAGACGAUUUUGUCUAAAGGAGAGUGUUUUAAUGAAUAGAAACAAGUUUGAAUCACUUUUAUAAGGGUCUUCACACUUUUAAUAUAUUAUAGAUAUAGAUUAUAUAUAUUAUUACUAUUAUAUUAUAUUAUUAUAUUAUAGAAGUUAGUAGAAACGUGCGAAAAGAUUUCCAAGGAAAAUUUUUCACUUUGUUAAUGAAGGAAAAUUUCUUUUGAGUUUUUCUUAGACAUUUUUAGACGUUUUUUUCCCCAAAAAUAAAGCAACUGUCUAAAGAUGGGACAAAUUUGUUAUUUUAGUGUUAUGUUGAAUUCUAUUUCAAACAAGUUGUAUAGUUCUAGACUAAUAAAACAAUUUUGUUUUACUUCUACGAUUGUAUUUAUUUGCCAAAUAUAAGGUACUAUAAUUAGGACUCUUUUUAAUAAUGGUGUUUUUUUUGUUUUUCCAAAAUCAUAUAUUAUUAGUAUUUAUGUAUAAUUAUAAUUUUUAAAAAUAGUAAAAAGAUGAUUUAGUUUAAAGUAGAGUUUUUAAUGAAGGGUAAAAAGUUCGAAUCACUUUUCUAAGGGUCUUCACACUUUUAAUAUUACUAGUUUAACCGCUCGUGCCUUGCACGUGUAACGUUCGAUUAUUUAAAAUCAAAUAAUUUUGCCAAUUGCAGAGAUUUUUAAUGAAGUGUAAAAAAUUUAGACCGCUUAUCAAAUAUUCUUUAACACUUUAAUAAUAAUAAUAUAAACAUAAACAUAUAUUUUAGUGUAAGCAUAUAUAUAUAUAUAUAUAUAUAUAUAUAUAUAUAUAUAUACAAAAUCAUUGAUUACAUUCUUAUUACGUACUUAAAAAAUUUUAAAAUUUGGUACUUCUUAAAUUUUUUUAUUUUUUUUUAUAUUUAUUUUUAGAUUUUUUAAAUCUUCUUAAAAUCUAAUUUAGUUGAUUUAGAAUUCUUAAAAUAAUGAAAAAAUAUUAUUUGUUAUUAAUUUUGAUGACUUCUAAUAAGGAAAGGUUUUACCAUAAAUAUAUUUAAUUAAUUUUUAGCUCUUAAAAAUUAGGAGAAAAUAGUGAAAAGACGAUUUUAUUUAAAGCAAAUACUUUUAAUGAAGGGCAAAAAGUUCAAACAAUAUUUCUAAUCUCUUUUAUAUAUAUAUAUAUAUAUAUAUAUAUAUAUAUUACAAUAUAGAUAUUCAAUCAUGUUCUUAAAAGUACAUAAAUUAUCAAUAUUUUCUGAUAAACAUGACAAAAAAUGAUAAUGAACAUUACACUUUGCGGUAGUUUAUUUUUUAAACAAAAUAUAAAAUCAAAGAAUAACUUAUAACUUAGUUAAGUUGCAACAACAAUGAUUACGUAAUAUAAUUUCAGACACAAAUGUUGAAUUAAAUACAAACUUUAAGUGCAAAUUUUAUAUAUUGAAUAUAAAGUAUGUAACAUCCUUCAAUUAUAUGAAUUAACUUAAAAAAAAAUUAGUAAACCUCAAGCAUGUUUCAAUUGAGAUGGAUAUGUUCCAUUAAAGAAUAUGACAUAUUUUAUUUGGUUAACUUAACUACCUAACAAAUAUUUAUCAAUAUACACAUUUUAUUUUUGUAAAAUUUGAAUAAAAAUAUGUUAUGAUUUUUAGUUUUUUUAUAACUUACUUGUCUAGAUUUAGCUGAUAAAAACUUUAAUACAAUUUCUUUGGUGUACGAUUUAUAUUGCAUAUAAAAUAAGCUUUAAAGUUUUUUUUUUGUUGCUCAAAUAGCAAAAAAUAAUAUUAUUAUAUUUGGCUAUCAACAUAAAAAAUUUAGAAAAUCAAGUUUGUCAUUUAGUAUGUUCUUGAAAUUUAUUAAUAUUUUCUUUUUAAAAGAAGAUAAUUUGCAUAUAAAAAAAUUAUUCCCACUUUCUUAUUUGAGAUAAAAGAAGUAUUAAUCUUAAAUUUGCUCGUGAAUGGGUCCAAUAUUACAGUAUAGAUAUGAAAAAAUUACAAAAAGUAGCUUAUUUAAGACUAUAAUUAUAAUAAAUAGCAACACUUUUACAAAAUUACAGUUUGUAGCAAGAUUAACAUUAUUUUGCCCAUUAACUAGACAAACAUCUGUUUUGCUCCCACUACUUUACCUUUUCCUGUUUUCACUCCACUAUUUCACUACUUCCCCCCCUCCCCCCUCCCCCCAAUAUAGCCGUAUCUUCUACUCUUUUAUUUCAUCUUAUUUUUUUUAUCAUUUUAUUUAAUUUUUUUUAUUUUUUUUCCACUUUAUUUUCUCCCUCUUCUAUUUCUCUUCUUAUUUUCCUUUUUCGUUUUUUUAUUUUUCAUUUUCUUUUUUUUUUCCUUCUCAUAUUUGAAGAUAAUUAUCUUCAUGAUCUUAAAAAUUUUGAAAAAAAACAUCAUUACUGUUUUUUUUCUCUCUUUCACUCUCUUAUAUCUCUAAUUUUUUUUUCUUGUUAGUUUUUUUCAACUUAUUUUUUUAUCAUUUUAUUUUUUUUCUUUUUCAUUUUUUCUUUUCCACUUUAUUUUCUCUCUUCUAUUUCUCUUUUUGUCUUUUUCAUUUUUUUCUUUAUUUUUUUCCUUUCUCGUAUCUUUUUUUCUUUUUCUAUUUUCGUUUUUUUUCUAUUUUUUGUUUCUUCUUUUUUUCUUUUAUUUUUACACUUCUAUUUCUCUUUCUUCUAUUUUUUUUUCAUUUUUUUCAUUUUUUUUAGUUUUUUACUCUUCUAUAUCUAACUUUUAUUUUAAAAAGACAAAUGUGUAUAUUACAUACACAUAUUCAAAAAAUAUACAAAUACAUAGUCAUACAGAUCUGGAUAUGUAUUUACAGUACAAAACAAACAUAUGUAUCUACAUAUGUAUUUACAAAAAUACAUAUCUCACUCAUAUGUAUAUAUAAACAUAUAGGACACAAAAUCUCUAUAAUAAAAAGGACAACUAUAUAUAUAUACAUAAUCAAAAAAUACAUGAUACAUGUCUUAAAUAGUAAAAAAUACAAAUAAAUACAUAUGUUACCAUCUAGAAUGGCAUAGAACAGUUCAAAGACAAAUUCAACACCAUACAAAAAUACAUAUAGAUAUGCAUUUAUAUAUACAAAAUACAAAUACAUUCAAUGCCCCAAAACAAUUUAUAAUACAUUUGUGACAUAAUACAUCUACCUAAUUGUGCUUGAACUGCAUAUUUCUUCUUGUUCAUGUAGACACCACAAAUAUUCUUAUGAAAAAAAAAUCGUGUACUGCUCCUUUGAUAACAUCGCCUUAAUAUGUUCUUCAAUAUCAUUGACUAUGUGAAUUUUUAUAUGUGGUGCAAACCUUGGAAGUACUCUUACCAUGAAUAUAUCACGCAAUACCUAUAGAACAAAAUAAUGACAUAAAUCUAUAUUACAUGUACUUUUCACAAAAAUUUAAUACAAAAUACAUAGUAUACAUAUAUAUUUUUUUUUACAUAAUAUAUAUUACAUUACAAACAAUACAUAUAAUUUCUACAUAUGUAUUUACAGAAUAUAUGUCUCAUUCAUAUGUAUAUUACUAUACAAAAAAUACAAAUAUGACUUUGCUAUGUAUUUACGAAAUACAUAUCAUAUUCAUAUUAAACAGUAACAAACAUAACUAUACUAUAUAUCUUCAUAUGUAUUUGCGAAAUACAAAGGCGACUCAUAUAAAACAAGAAUAUACAUAUGGAUCAGGUAUGAAUUCUGUAAAUACAUAUGCAGAGCUAUAUGUAUUUUGUACGGUGUUGGAUUUGUCUUUGUACUGUUCUAUGUCAUUUUAGAGGACAACAUAUGUACUUAUUUGUAUUUUUUACUAUUUAAGAUAUGUAUCAUGUAUCUUUUGAUUACCUAUAUGUAUAUAUAUUUAGUUGUCCUUUUUGUAUGUACAAAUGCAUAUACAUAUGUAUUUUUGCACAGUGUUGGAUUUGUCUUUGAAUUGUUCUGUGUCAUUUUAGAGGGUAACAUAUAUACUUAUUUGUAUUUUUUACUAUUUAAAAUAUGUAUCAUAUAAUUUUUGAUUACCUAUAUGUAUAUGUAUAUAGUUGUCUUUUUUGUUAUAGAGAUUUUGUGUCCUAUAUGCUUAUAUAUACAUGAGUCAGAUAUGUAUUUUUGUAAAUACAUAUGCAGAUAUAUAUGUGUAUUUUGUACUAUAAAUACAUAUGCAAAUCUGUAUGUCAAUUUAUUUUGUAUAUUUUUUAAAUAUGUAUAUGUGAUAUAGAUAUUUAUCUUUUAAAACUAAAAGAUAGAGACAGAAGAGUAAAAAAAAAGAAAAAAAUACAUAGAAAAGAUAAAAAUCGAAAAAAAAUCUGAAAAAGGUGAAAAAGGAGAAAAAAAUAAAGACAAAUAGAAGUGAAAAAAAAAAGAAAAAACGGAAAAGGAAAAAAAAUGAGAAAGGAAUAAAAUAAGAAAACGAAAGCGAAAAAAUAAAGAAAAAAAUGAAAAAAGAAAAAAAAAAAAGAGAAAUAAAAGCGGAAAGAAAAACGAAAUCAAAAUUAAAAAUUAAAACAAUAAAAAAAGAUGAAAAAAAACUAAAAAGAAAAAGAGUUAGAGAUAUAAGAGAGUGAAAGAUAGAAAAAAAAAUAGUAAUGAUGCUUUGUUUUGAAUUUUGAAGUUGAUGAAGAUAAUAAUCUUUCAUAUAUGAGUUUGAUUUGGAAAAUGAAUCUAUUAGUUGAAAUAAGAGUAAUUUAUGAAAAAAAGAAUCUAUUGCAGUAAUUUAUGAAAAAGAAAUUUACUGAUUCCUUAUUUAACUCAAUUGAUUUGAGUAAAAGAAGGACAAUAAAUCUCGUUUUAUAUGUAUUUUAGUAGCAACACUUUAAUAAAAUACAAAAUAUAACUUUCUAUUUUUUGUAAUUAUGAAACAGUUGCUAUAAAAGUUCUAAUUAUAGCUAUAAGUUUGGUACUUAUGAAAAAUUCUCAGAUAUUCAGUCAUGUUCUUAAAAAUAAAUAAAUUAUCAAUAUUUUCAGAUAAACAUGACAGAAAAUGAUAUUGAACAUUACACUUUGCAGUAGAUUAAUUUUUUUGUUUUUUUAUAUAAAAUUAAAUCAUAAUUUAUAACUUAGUUAAGUUUCCACAACUAACACAUUAAAAAAUUACAUAAUAUAAUUUUAGACACAAACGUUGAAUUAAAUAACAAACAUUAGGUGCAAAUUUUAUAUCUUGAAUAUACAAUAUGUCAUAUCCUUUAAUUUAUGAAUUAACCUAAAAAUAGGAGUUAACCUCAAGCAUGUUUUUGUUGAGAUGGAUAUGUUCAAUUGAAAAAUAUGACAUGUUUUAUUAGGUUAACUUAACUACCUAAUAAAUAUUUAUGAACACACAUUUUUUUUUUUCAAAUUUGAAUAAAAAUAUAUUACAAUUUUUAGUUUUUUCAUAACUUAUUUGUCUAGAUUUAGCUAAUAAAAACUUAAUAUAAUUUCUUUGGUGUACGAUUUAUAUUACAUAUAAAAUAAGCUUUAAAGAUUUUUUUUGUUGCUCAAAUAGCACAAAAUAUUAUUAUUAGAUUUUGCUAUGAACAUAAAAAUUGUAGAAAAUCAAAUUUGUCAUUUUGUAUGUUCUUGAAAUAUAUUUAUUUUUUUUAACUAAUAAAACACAAAAUUACUCAAAAAAAUGUGAUUAUGAAAUAUAUAAAAUAAAUUACUCCAACUUAGGAUUCAUAUCAAAGAGGGGCACAUAAUUUAUGAUCAAAUAAAAUAAGAAUGGGUGGAUAGUGGGGCCUACAUCUGGGGUCUAUGUUUUGAGAGAAGAAAAAUAAGGUGAUAUUGAUGACAUAAGUAUAGGGGGUAAAUAGGUCAAAAUAUCUAGAUCUUUCUUCUUGAGCUACAGUAAAGCUCCUUUUUCAUUUUUUUGGUAACUAAUAUUUUAUUAUUCACCAAGUGGAGAAUUACAAAACCGUAGAGGGUUUAUAACUCAACCAUCUACCACUCAGUUUGUCAUAUUGCCAUUGCCUAGGGGCAUACAACAAAUCUAUUGGUUAACACUUUCAAUCUAGGUGGUGCUCGUAUAUCAUUGAUCGUCCCUCAUACUCAUCUUUCUAUAUAAUAAAAAAAUAUAAUAAUAUAGAGUUACAUGUUAAACAUCUAAAAUGUCAUUAUGUUAGCUUUUAAAUUAAAUAAUGCCCUUGGUCUCGUUUUAUGGACCCAAUAUUACAGUUUUAAAUAUAUUUAUCAGUAUUUAAUUUGUGUAUCAAAAAAAUUAAAUUUAUAUUUUUAAAUAAAUACGAUAGAAAAUAAUAAUAAUAGAGAUCACACGUUAAAAAAACUAUCUAUUUUUUAUUUUUAUAAAAUCAAUUAAUAGCUUACUACUUAUUUAAAUUAUCCUAAUUAAAGUUGAAAUAUAAUAUACUUCAAUGCUUAUUUUAACAUCAGGUCAAACACAUUUUCCUGAAUUAAGUAGCUAAUUUUAAUGUUUUUAUUUUCAAUUUUAUUUGAAAAUUAUACAAGAAAAUAAAUUAAAAUUAUAAGCGCCAAUAUAUUAAUAUAUUUUUUAUAAAAUCUUAUAAGCAACAUUUUCUUAAAAUAUGGUCUUUUUUACCUAAUAUACUAUAUAAAUAAAAGUAAAUAACGUUUUUAUAUUAAGGAGAUAAGAGAUUGUUCUUAUACAAAUAACUAUAUCAUACAUUCAUUUUCAUAAUGAAAUAAUAUAAAAAUACUAAAGAUACAUUACUGAUAGUUGAAAAUUAUAUAUAAAAAAAUAGAGCACAAAUCAAAUUAACAUUGGUGGAGUUAAACUUUUUAUUAACAAGAUUAAAAAUAUAUAUGUUAUUUAAUGUUAGUUUAAAGUUAUUUUAUAUGCAGGUUAAUUUAUAUAUUAUAUCGUACUCUCUAUUUUUCUUUUUAUUUGCUUUAUUUGGGUUAGACACACACUAUAAUCUCUUGCUCCUAUAAAGUUAAAAGUAAUUUCGAAGUCUUAUAUGAAUAUUACAUAUGCAAUUCUUUUUUAUUCUAGUAAAACAUUUAUAGACUGAUUUAAUGAUAUUUUUUAUAAAAUUAUUAAUGAACAAAAAAAAAUAUCUUUAAAUAUGUUAACAACUUUAAAUUUUAACCUACCAAGUUCAUGCAUGAUAAAUUUUUUGAGCAAAAAACUAAAAUAUUAAAAUCUUGGAGUAUUGAAAAUUUUGACGGAGUCGGAAUUUUCACUUAGAAAGUUUAAAAUAUAAGAAAAUAAAUAAACGAAGAAAAACAAAUUCAACAUUUAACACAUAAAAAUAAAAAAUAAUUUUAGUUCUAUAUAAACAAUCUAAUAUUUCAUGAAUGGAGAUUCAAAUUAUAAAUUUAAAUUUAUUUAAAAUAUUACUUCAUAAAUAAUGUGGUUGAAAUAAGUUGAGACUUGAAAGUAAAAAUAUUGUUAGCUACAUAAUAGGUUCACUUAGAAAAUGUAGACACAAAAGCUAGAAAAAAAAAGAAAUGACUAAUGGAGUUCUUUGUUGAUAUUACUAUUGACUAAUAAUUGUACCAUUUAGAUGUGAAAUGACAAAUAUACCCUUGAUCGUCCUCCGACUCACUCUUUUAUAUAAUAAUAAUAAUAAUAAUACUAAUAAUAAAUACUAGAUAGGUAUUGGCCGUGCUGAGCACGGCCUAACACACUACAUUUUGAUAUAUUUUUAGGAGAAUCAUACCGGAACUUAAUUUAUUAUUACUAUUCAAAAUUCCAGCCUUUUUAAAUAAUUAUAUAAAUCUUUAAUUUUACUUAAAAGCUUAAAUAUAUCAUAAAAGAAUGUAAUGUAUUCAUGUAGAAAUAAGUGAUUAUGUUUAUGUAAAAUUAAGUAACUUAUCCGAAAAGUGGGAUAUAUUAAGUGAAGCAUUUGAAAGAAUGUGAUGUAUUCGUACGAAUUAAAUUAGAGGUUUUAAAUAAUUUUGAAAAAAAAUUGAGAUAGAGAGUAAUUAUCUCUAAGAGGAUUAAGAGUUAGGUAAUUCUACAAUUUUCUAUUAUAUGGUUUGUAUUGGUAAUGAAGAUAAAAGCCCUAAAACAUCAAUGUACUUAACAAAGUGCAAAAUAACAUGGUGAAUAUGACAUUUUCAUGUACAUGUAUGAAAUAAAAAAAAUAUUACAAAACGACUUUCAGAUACAUCUUGGUAAUAGCUGAUGUAAUACCAAAAAAUAAAUCAUAGAUAAUAUUAAAAAAUUAUUGAUAAUAUUUGUGAAUGUUAAAAUUCAUCACAAGCACAUGAAAUCAUCAUUUUCUGUUACCAGGAGGCACGAUCUAUCUUGGUAAUCAAACUUUUUAUCAUUCCAAAAAUCACAAGGAGAAUCUUUGGAUUACCUUCAAGAAGUAAGAAAAUACCAACCAUAAAAAAAUUGAGAGAAAAGCAAAACACAAAUAUCUAGCAAAAAAUAACAGAAUAUAAAAAAUCAAAUGAGAGAAACAUUGAAAAGAGGGAACUAAUGCUUUUAAAAUUCAAGAAGUAUGGCCUUCCAAAAAAAAUAAAAAAGAAUGCUUCCUUAAUUUAGUAAGGUGACCAACUAAUAUAAGGCAACUAUUUUUGGUAAAAUGACAAACUAAUAUGGGAUGAAAGAAGUAUUAAAGAAGCCAUUCAUUACAAUUUAUUUAUUCUUCAUAAUCCUUUAUACCGAUAGUAAAAAUAAAAAGACACCCUAUACACUAAAGAUCCCGCUAUGCGCAAGGUUCGAAAAAGGACCCCACCACAAGGGUGUAUUGUACGCAGCCUUACUUUGCAUUUCUGUCAGAGGCUGUUUUCAAACCUUGAACCUGUGACCUCCUGGUCACAUGGAAACAACUUUGUUUCCAAGGCUUGAACCCACAACCUUACAUGGGAACCACUUACUCCAAGGAUCCCCUUUAACGUGAGACUAAUUUUGGACAAAAUUAAUAUUUUUUAACUCUACCUCAUCUUCAUUGAACUUUCCUGCAUCAAAUGAGUUCAAAGAGUUCUCCACCACGUGCAUAUUCCAUAACAAUGGAAAGAUGAGUGGGAGUUCACAUAACCUGGAUCUCACCAAAUAAUGAAAAUUAAGCCAACUUUUUCUCAAUUUUUUCUUGCGAUUUUUGAACCAAGAAAAAAUCCAUGAAAGUAAUAGAGCAUUACAAAAUGGUAGUGAAGAUCUACCACGUUUCCUUGCAUCUAAUUCAGAUUUUAAUCGUAUUGAAGCUGAAUAGCACCAUAGUUCAUCUUUGUCACGCCCCGAAUCUGAUACCCGGAACGCUACACGGUGCCCAUGACCCCGAAGGACCACAAGCUAACCCAUGACUGAUAUAUGUAAACUAAGCACUGAAUAAUAGUAAUAAUAUCGUAAAUACGGAAACAUUAACUGAAAGGCCAUAAGGUUCAAUACUAGUACAUAACUGAAAAAUGUGGUAUAACAAUACCAAAACAACUGAGAUAAUUAUCUAAACAUACUGUAGUCUGAAAGCCUCUAAAAUGUCUAAAUAAGGAGUUGAUGAGACAUGUCCCCAACUAACUCCAACUACUGCAAUAGACUAAAAAAUGAAAUUGUAAUGUGAUCAUCAUGUCCUCGAAGGAUGAGGACUCACUGCUAACUCUGAUCACUGAACUGGGAUGCUAGAUAGGACUGAGAUCCCUAGAAGCAAUCCCUAAGUUCCAGAACUAUGUAGCCAACGUAGGUACGAGAUAUCACCCGUUAGAUAAGACUGACAUACUUAGGGAUCACCCGUUAGCGUAUUUAAAUGUAUAGGACUGAUCCCAGGGGUCAUCCGCUAGAUUAGGACUGACUCCACAGCAGUUGUCUUUACCAGUGGCACGGUACUGACACCCUUCCAGCUGGGGUUACAGGUUGGACCCCAGUUAGCUUAGUAUGGGGCAUGUCGGUUAGAUGAAUACAUCCCAUAAUUUUAGUUACAGAAUCAGGGCUCAGAUACAGUUAAUUCAGUUCAGUAGUAUAGAUUUAGGACUAUCAGACACAGUCACUCCUUAUCAUUUUAAAUAGACUCUGGGAUCACCCACUAGAUAGGACUGAUCUCAACUAUGGUCAAUCAGUAAUGGUAUCAUCAGAUUUAGAGAUCAUUCGCUAGAUAGGACUCAUCUCAGGUUCAGUUACUCAGAUACAAUACGAAACUCAGCUAAUUCCAUCAGAUUCAGGACUGUUAGAUACAGUUACUCAUGUUAUUAGUUAUAUCAGUUAUCAGAACUUAUGUUAUUAAUAUUCAGCUUCAGGACUGUCAAAUACAGUCAACCAGACCAGUUCUUCAUAAUCAGAACUGUCAGACACAGUUAUCCAUUUAUUAAUAACAUAGUAUCAGUCCCUUAGUAUUAAGUAAUACAGUAUCAGUUUCUCACUCAUCAGUGACUCAGAUGUUAAUGUCAGUAGAUUCAGUAGUCAGAACUUAAUAUUCAGUCCUAUCAUGAUCUCAGUUACAGUUACGUAUGUAUGCAUGUAUUCUCACGUUUAUGUUAGUCAGUCAGUUAGUAUUGUUCAUGCAUAUGAACCUAUUACAUUCAUCCUACCUCACUUGCAUACCAGUACAUUAAAAGUACUGACCCGUUUGUGCUAUGGUGUCUUAUACCAUAGGUUUAGAAGCACGAGCUCCAGAGAAUUAGUAGUACCCAGUUCAGCGAUCAGAGUUAGCAGUGAGUCCUCAUCCUUUGAGGACAUGAUGAUUACAUUACUAUUUUAGUUUUCAGUUUAUUUUAGUAGUUGGAGUUAGUUGGGGACAUGUCCCAUCAACUCCUUAUUCAGACAGUUUAGAAGUUUUUAGACUAUAGUAUGUUCAGACAAUUAUCUCAGUUGUUUUGGUAUUAUUAUACCAUAUUUUUCAGUUAUGUACUAGUAUUGAACCUUAUGACCUUUCAGUUCAUGUUUCUGUAUUUAUGAUAUUAUUACUAUUAUUCAGUGUUCAGUUUAUAGAUAUUAGUCAUGGGUUUGCUUAUGGUCUUUUGGGGUUAUGGGCACCGUGUAGCAUUUCAUGUACCAGAUUCGAGGUGUUACGAACUUGGUAUCAGAGCUAGGUUCAACAGUGUCCUAGGAAGUCUGAAAAGCCGCAUUUAGUAGAGUCUUGUACAUGCGUGUGUUGUGCACCACACUUAUGUGCAGGAGGCUAUGAGAUUUUAGGAACAGUUUCUCUUCUUUCAGUAUUCAUGUCGUACCAAUAAGCAUAGGCUCAAAGUUAAACUCUCAGUCAAAGUUAAGCGUGGUGAGCCCAUAACCCACAGGUCCCAGGAUCAAAAUUUGGCUCUAAUACCAAGUUUGUAACACCCCGAAUCUGGUACCUAAAAUGCUAUAUGGUGCCCAUAACUCGAAAGGACCACAAGCUAACCCAUGGCUAAUAUCUAUAAACUGAGCACUGAAUAAUAGUAAUAAUAUCAUAAAUGCAGAAAUAUGAACUGAAAGGCCAUGAGGUUCAAUACUAGUACAUAACUAAAAAAUGUGGUAUAAUAAUACCAAAACAACUAAGAUAAUUGUCUGAACAUACUGUAGUCUGAAAGCCUCUAAACUUUCAGAAUAAGGAGUUGAUGGGACAUGUCCCCAACUAACUCCAACCACUAAAAUAGACUAAAAAAUGAAAUAGUAAUGUGAUCAUCAUGUCCUUGAAGGAUGAGGACUCACUGCUAACUCUGAUCGCUGAACUGGGUACUACUAAUUCUCUGGAGCUCGUGCUUCUAAACCUAUGGUAUAAGACACCAUAGCACAAACGGGUCAGUACUUUUAAUGUACUGGUAUGCAAGUGAGGUAGGAUGAAUGUAAUAGGUUCAUAUGCAUGAACAAUACUAACUGACUGACUAACAUAAACGUGAGAAUACAUGCAUACAUACGUAACUGUAACUGAGAUCAUGAUAGGACUGAAUAUUAAGUUCUGACUACUGAAUCUACUGACAUUAACAUCUGAGUCACUGAUGAGUGAGAAACUGAUACUGUAUUACUUAAUACUAAGGGACUGAUACUAUGUUAUUAAUAAAUGGAUAACUGUGUCUAACAGUUCUGAUUAUGAAGAACUGGUCUGGUUGACUGUAUCUGUCAGUCCUAAAGCUGAAUGCUAAUAACAUAAGUUCUGAUAACUAAUAUAACUGAUAACAUGAGUGACUGUAUCUGAAAGUCCUAAAUCUAUACUAUUGAGCUGAAUUAAUUAUAUCUGACAAUCCUGAUUCUGUAACUGAAAUUGUGGGAUGUAUUCAUCUAACCGACAUGCCCCAUACUAAGCUAACUGGGGUCUAACCUAUAACCCCGGCUGGAAUGGUGUCAGUACUGUGCCACUGUUAAAGACAAAUACUAUGGAGUCAGUCCUAAUCUAGCGGGUGACCCUUGGAAUUAGUCCUAUACAUUUAAAUGUGAUAACGGGUGAUCCCUGAGUAUGUCAGUCCUAUCUAACGGGUGACAUCUCAUACCUACACUGGUUACGUAGUUCUGGAACUUAGGGAUUGCUUUUAGGGAUCUCAGUCCUAUCUAGCGGGUAAGUCCCCAUCCCUAGGCUUGCUCGGUGCUGAAUCCUACUCCCAUCUAAAAGACACUAAAUUGAUUAACUGAACUGAGCUGAAUUGAUACUAGUGGUAUUGUCUAGUGGAGCUAAUCUGAAUUUACUGAGUUCCAUUAACUGACGGAAUGUACUGAGUUCUGAGGACUGACUGAGAAUAUUGAAGUUACUGAGAUUACUGAGCUACUGAAAUUACUGAGAUUUUUGAGAUUUCCUGAGUCACAUGACUAACUAAGUUCUAUGGAUCAUAGCUUGACUGAGGAGAUCGUGAAAACAUGACAUGACUUUAGGCACACAGUUAAAUAUUCGGGUACAAGUACCCCCAGGACUCGAUUGAAUAUACAUCUAUACAAAUCAAUUCCAUACAAAAUUGAUCACCCAACAUGGAUUUGAAUUCAAUUGAUCAUUCUCAACAUAAACAACACAAACUCAACAUGAAAUUCAUAAAGAAAUCCAUAAACUUAAACUUAGAAACGAGAUUCUCGGGCUUCAUGGACAAAAGGAGGCCAUGAAUGAACACUACGCAUACCUUAGUUCAUGAUUUUGUGAAAAUUAACGAUGAAACCUUCUUGAAUUUGAAUCCCCAAUUGAAACCGUAGCUUGUUCUUGAGAGAAACUUGAGAGAAACUAGUAUAUUUUGGGUGAAGAAUGGCUAAAUCACGUGUUAUUAGGUUUAAAUAGGGUUAGAAAAUUGACAUUUUUAACCCUGGAUGCAUCUUUUAUUUCUGAGAAAAAUUUCCCAAUUUUUAUCCUUGGCGCGACGCGCCACUAUUGCGCCAAGUCACUGGAAAGUGACAAAUGGGAAAUUGCACGGUGGUGCGACGCAGAGCUAUCGCAUUGCCACCUUGUCUGUGACCUAGAAGUUUUGUGCGAUGCGCCACUAUCACGAAGCAACACUGGAAAUUGACAAUUUCCAUUUGAGCUAUCUCCGCGACGCGCUGAAGGCUCAGGUGAUACACUGUCUCACUAAAAAGGCUCUAACUCUUCACCCGGAUGUCGGAUUUGGGCGAAUUUGGUAUCGAUGGAAAGAUUAUUCGAUUCCCCAUAUGAUAAAAAGUGAAAAUCUUGAAAAUACCAUGUCUACAAAAGUGUAUUUAUUUUUCAAAUAAAGCUUCUAACAUUCUUGGGAAACUUUUUAAGCUAGGAAAAGUAUGGGGUAUUACAAUCUUGUUGGAUUUUCAAUAAUUAUAGCGUCAUUUCAUACUGUAUUGUGAGGUAGAAUUUCUCUACUAUUGGAAUAAAAGAAACCAAAGAAUGGACAUUUCUUGAUUUAUGUGGAGAAAUCAGAAAAAGUGAUAUGGAAUGAACUUGAAAUAACUCUUACAAUUGUGCAAAAUAACGUCUUUGCUCUUGGUUGUCCUUUACUCUCCUUUCUAUAUAGUAGAAAAAUAUAAUAAAAAAAAGAUUAUAUAUAUAUAUAUAUAUAUAUAUAUAUAGAUGGAUAGAGAGAGAGAGAUAGAUCAUAGUUAUUUAGAUGUUUCUAUAGAGUUGUAGGUACGCAAAAUAUCUAAAAUAUCAUUAUGUUAGCUUUGAAAUUACAGUAAUUCCCUUGGCUAUCAUUGAACUCACCGUUCUAUAUAAAUAAUAAAAAAUAAAUAUAAUAGAAUAAAGUAUGUUAUUUUUGUGCAAAACAAAACCUCAACUCCAUAAGACUAGAUUUUGUUAAAUUGAGAGCAAUUUUUGUAUUAAAUUAAUUUUUCUGGGUCUUUGUAAAAUUGAGAGCAAGUUUGAUAUCAUAGUUAAUUUUUUUUGAUUUUUGGAAUCCACUUAGAUCUCAAUUACAGUAAUGUCUUUAUUGAUGGCAAUAUUGAUUAGGUAUAUUUUUUUUGUCUAUGGCUUUAUAUCAUGUUUUGUUGAGCGCGGGAUCAUGAUAUAAAGUUUGAUAUCUUAUCCUUUUCAAACCCCACUUAUAAGACUACACCAAAUAUGUUAUUAUUAUUUAAUUGAUUUUAAAGUUUGAGUGUUGAUUCAUGAUUGAUUUGUGAUUGUAUAGUUUUGAAUAUCACGUUAUAUAUAUAAUUAAUUUGUAUGACUUGAAUACAUAGUCUUCAAGAGUGAUUUCGGUUAUGGUAGAGACAAUUGAACUUGAAAGUAUUAUUCUAGAGCAAUUUUAGAUUAUGGCAAAGCGUUUUAAUCAUUUAAUUCUUUUCUUAAUUGAACUAUUGUCACAACCUAAUUUCUCAGGUCAUGAUGGCGCCUACUAUAACCCAUUAAUAGGCAAGCCAAACCUAUAGUCUGAAAUGUCUAGUAACAGACUAUCAAUCAAAAUAAGGAAAGAAUGAAAAAUAAAUGUACUAAAAGAUCAAAUACAUAGACAAAUCUCAAAACCUGGUGGUAUUAGUACAAAAUCUUCUAAUAUAACAAGAGUACAUGAGUGAAAUACAAAUGAAUAUACUGAUAUAACUUAUCUCCGAAUACAACACAGAGACUAGCCUAAUACAUAAAGGAGAGAUAAGUAAUACUCCGAACAUUAGGAUCUCACUCUAAAUCUCCAAACAAUGGUUACUCUGCUCAACACACACAUCAACAGUGAUAUCUCGUACUAUGAUCUGUAGGCUGCAAAAGUGUAGUAUGAGUACCAAAUAAAUAGUACUCAGCAUGCAACUACCAAUUGAGCUUUGAAGAUAAAGUAGAUAUAUAACAUAUAAACAGAAUGAAAAACUACAUUCAAAAUUCCAAUAUCCAUAAAAGACAAACAAUAAGGUAACAAGGAUAAACUAUCCUAUUCAUGUCCAAGAGGAUAACAUAUUAAGACUAAGGGAGUAACAAAUAUGAACUAUCCUAUUCCAGUCAUAUUAAUAAUUCUCAACAUUAUACCGUAUAUCACUGUCCAAUAUGCAAAGUACAAGUGGAAGGAAGAUACACAUAACUUUACAAGGCCAAGGAAUGAGUAUACAAUAUGAAUAAUUGAAGGAAGGGAUAUAUGGUAGUCCCAUAAUUAUAUAUAGCUAGGUAUGUGUGUGUGUAUAUACAGACACACACAUAUAUAUACACACACAUAUAAAUACGAAGUCAACUCAAAGGAUAACCUAAAUCAUCAUGUCUUCACUUUAAGACCUCAUUAUAAUCCUAUCCGAAUUUAAUACUAUCAUACUCAGGGUUCUAAUCCGGAUGGCUAGACAUGAAAUAAUCAUGCAUAAUAAUGCAAUCAUAAGAUAGAAGAGGCCAAAAGUAUACCUCAAAUAUUGAUACUGAAUUAAUGACCAAUCUGUCAUAAACUAUCCAUAAUAAUGAUCAUAACAAUGAUAAUAACAAUAUUAAUAACAACACGAGUAAUUGGCUAUUUCGGACAACCAAGUAUAUAAUCGAGCCUAUGUGUAUCCCCGCUGCUCCAGAAUCAGAAGGUUCAAUCAAUAUUCAACAACACAAGUCAUAACCCAUAUCUAUGCAACCAUCCCACACAGGGUGAUAGACAUAGGUGCAUACUGGUGAUAGAAAAUGCGCAUGAAAGAAUGAAUGCAACAGAAUCUACAAUACCAUAAUCAUCAUCAUCAUAACCGUCAUCAUCAUAAUUAACCUCCGACCUUGCUGAGUAUAUAAUCAUCACAACAUCCUUUAGCCUUGCCGAGUAUCAUCACACUAUUAUAAUAUCCUUUGGUCUUGCUAGGUAUUAACAUCAUCAUCGUAAUAUCCUUCAGCCUUGUCGGGUAUCAAUAUCAUCAUCAUAAUAUCCUUCGAUCGUGUCUAGUAUAAAUAUUAUCAUCAUAAUAUCCAAACUAAUGUCACAUAAUAGAGAGCAAGCCCCACAAGGGCUAAAGUAAAGUGCAAGCCCCACUAGAGCUAAAGUAAAUGACAAGACCAUGAGGGCUAAAAGAAAUAGAUAUGAAAAAAGAAGCAAGGUAGAGUAUAUUUCCAUAAUUCAUCAUUCAUCAUCAAUAUCACAUCCUUAGUAAGUGUAUAUAUAAUUGGUGCACGGACUCAAGCCGUGGCUAAAAGAGUGUAAAUCUGUAAGUUUGUUGCUCGGAGUGAACUUCAGAACUAGAUCUCUAUGAAAGUGUCAGAAUAUCUCAAUACCAUAGUAAAUAGUAGUGUCAUAUCAUGGACCGAAAUAUAUCCCAGUCAAAUCUCUAACAACAUCAUUAUUAACCUCUACACAUUUAACUUAUUCAUUAAGUUAGGCAUUUAUUAUUGUGAAGAAACCCAUUUUUAGGUGGAAAGUGGGCUUUAGCCCUUAGUUAGUGGCAACACAAAUAAGAUUAUAAUCUAUUUGGAAUCGUAUUAAUCAUCUAUGCGAAUCUAUGCAUGCUAUCAUCAGUAUUCAAUCAUUGGAAUCAUAUAUAUCAUACCACAUCUUCCUCUAUCCUAUGUUGAAGAUAUAUAUAUAUAUAUAUAUAUNNNNNNNNNNNNNNNNNNNNNNNNNNNNNNNNNNNNNNNNNNNNNNNNNNNNNNNNNNNNNNNNNNNNNNNNNNNNNNNNNNNNNNNNNNNNNNNNNNNNNNNNNNNNNNNNNNNNNNNNNNNNNNNNNNNNNNNNNNNNNNNNNNNNNNNNNNNNNNNNNNNNNNNNNNNNNNNNNNNNNNNNNNNNNNNNNNNNNNNNNNNNNNNNNNNNNNNNNNNNNNNNNNNNNNNNNNNNNNNNNNNNNNNNNNNNNNNNNNNNNNNNNNNNNNNNNNNNNNNNNNNNNNNNNNNNNNNNNNNNNNNNNNNNNNNNNNNNNNNNNNNNNNNNNNNNNNNNNNNNNNNNNNNNNNNNNNNNNNNNNNNNNNNNNNNNNNNNNNNNNNNNNNNNNNNNNNNNNNNNNNNNNNNNNNNNNNNNNNNNNNNNNNNNNNNNNNNNNNNNNNNNNNNNNNNNNNNNNNNNNNNNNNNNNNNNNNNNNNNNNNNNNNNNNNNNNNNNNNNNNNNNNNNNNNNNNNNNNNNNNNNNNNNNNNNNNNNNNNNNNNNNNNNNNNNNNNNNNNNNNNNNNNNNNNNNNNNNNNNNNNNNNNNNNNNNNNNNNNNNNNNNNNNNNNNNNNNNNNNNNNNNNNNNNNNNNNNNNNNNNNNNNNNNNNNNNNNNNNNNNNNNNNNNNNNNNNNNNNNNNNNNNNNNNNNNNNNNNNNNNNNNNNNNNNNNNNNNNNNNNNNNNNNNNNNNNNNNNNNNNNNNNNNNNNNNNNNNNNNNNNNNNNNNNNNNNNNNNNNNNNNNNNNNNNNNNNNNNNNNNNNNNNNNNNNNNNNNNNNNNNNNNNNNNNNNNNNNNNNNNNNNNNNNNNNNNNNNNNNNNNNNNNNNNNNNNNNNNNNNNNNNNNNNNNNNNNNNNNNNNNNNNNNNNNNNNNNNNNNNNNNNNNNNNNNNNNNNNNNNNNNNNNNNNNNNNNNNNNNNNNNNNNNNNNNNNNNNNNNNNNNNNNNNNNNNNNNNNNNNUUUACACUCCCACGAGAGCUGUAGAUUGAGCGUUAUCAGAUUCCCCUGUACCCCGCAGACUCCAUUAUUAAAAUCACUUGAGAGAUUCUCGUGUACCCCACAAAAUUUUCAAAAUCAUCCUUAAUCAAUUAACCAUUUAUGUCAUGCAUUAGUUUCAAGAAACAAAUCAAACCAAGUAAUAAUGUAUAAACCAAAAUCAAUUAUGCAAGUUGUUACCUAUUUUCAUACAAAACCAAUUAAUUUGGGGAUUCCUUUGUACCCCGAUUUCCAUCCACCAUUCCCUUGCAAACCUAAUGCAUUUACUAACCAUCAAUUUAAGCACAAUAGUUUCCUAGAUAUAUGGAAAAGUAUUUAAACAAUUUAUAUUAAAAACCCUCAACCCAUAGUUCAAAACUCAACAUCAAUAUCUCAUGAACAAUACUUUAAAUCACAUGCUUUUACAAUAUUGACAAUAAAGGAAGAGUAACAUGCCUGAAAUACUAAGAAAUUUGGAGAAGAAAACAACCUUAGAACCUUAUAUGACCACUUUCUUUAAAACCCUAGCCUUAACUUAAACUGAGAGAGAAUUUGGGAGUGUUCUAUUGGGAAUGAUGUGAUAAUAAAGCCCCAAGGAAGGCUUUAAGUCGUGGGGUCCAAGGGGUGAAAUUGAGAAAUGCCUAGAGUACCUCAACUUAAAAACUGAAAAAGUGUUGUCUUUGAUUAUGAGUCAACCAUCGACUCAUAACUUUCCUUGCGACUCAUCACUAUGGGUCAUAACCAAGGUAGUACCACUAAGGAAUCCCACACUGUUAUCCUUACGACUCAACCACAGGACUCGUAAUAAGACCUUACGACUCGUAGGGUUCAGUCGUAAUCAACACAUAACCCAAAUUGGGACUUACACUGGACACCCUACGACUACACCUAAUGACUCAUAACGUAUCCUUACGACUCUUGGUGAGCCACUCGUACUUAGAGCAGAAUCAAGCCACAAACUUACUAGUUAGGUUACGACUCAUCCCAACGACUCGUUAGGACACUCUACGACUCAUAAGGUCUAAUCGUAACCAGGGCAUUGAGCUCGAAGCUCAAAGAAUUUUCAAGGGCCAAAAAUCCAAGGUGUUUUAAUGCACUUUUAACUAAAGUGAUUAUGUGAGGUUGAUUUAUAAAUAUAGGUAAUUUUUUAUUUUUAAAUGUUAAAAAAUAAAAAUUUUAGGACAUUUUUUAUAUAAAAAUAUAUUGAAAGCUUGUAACAAUUUGGAUACGCUAAAAAAUAUGUAAACUUCUGAUGUAAUAAUGGGUUCAUUGAAAAAUAAAGGAGAACGAUGAAGAAGAAAUUGGAGGAAAAAGCUAAAGAGAAGUAACAAAGAGAAAAAGAAAGAAAAACUAUAUAUUGAAGGGCUACAAUUUCAUGAUAUUAUUGGUGUUAUCUCAUGUUUUAAUGAUGACUGAAUGAUAUCGAAGGACCAGGUCCCUCGCCUACUUUGACCAGGCACAACUAUCAUAUUCUACAAAAUUUUGUCUGAUAGUGCAAUAAUUGUCCAGGUGUACAGUGUACCAGAAUAUACAUCUGGUUCAAUCAAAAUUCUAUCACUCAAUCUACACUACUAUAAAUACAUAAGAAUGCUCUUUCCUCCAUAGUUUUUACAAAUUGAAGAAUCUCACGGUGACGACCAAAACUCUCUCUAAGUUCAAGUUCUAAAUCUCUUUAUAUUUAUAGUGUAGGUAUUCUUGAGUCGAGUCUUAUAAUCAAUUUACUCAAGGAUUAAGAGUAAAACUUUUCUUUUGUUGUUGAGUUUCUUAGGUAGAGUUAUCUAAAUUUGUGUUGGUUAGAGUUAACCAAUAUUGAGAGUGACAUUGACAGAGUUGUCAAGAGGUGAUUGUAAUAGAGUUAUUUACAAAUUAGAGAAACUUAUAGUUUAGUUCGAAUGAAGUCUGUAAUCAAGAUGUGUUUUGAUUAUAGUGGAGUUUGAGAGCCUGUGAGUGCAGGUUAUGGUUUUUUCUCUCUUGAGUAAGGAGGUUUCUACGUAAAUAAUUAUGUUGAUUUAUUUACUGCAUCUUUGUGUGCUUGUUGCUUUAUUGUCAUAUAAUUCACUUUCGGGACCUGGUCCCUUAGUGAUGGUGUACCCCUCACGUUUUUACAAUUGGUAUCAGAGCGAGGACACUCUAAAAGGUUAACACCUAGAGUGAAUUCUUGAUCAUGGUUACACCACCUAAUCAGGAGGAGGGGCAAUAUACUACUAGGCUACCCCAUUUCAAUGAGCAAUACUAUGGGUGGUAGAAAAUUAGGAUGUAUGAUUUCAUUAUGACUAAGGAUGGAGAGCUAAUGAAUGUGAUACUUGAUGGUCCCCAUGUGCCAGUAUGAGAAGUCAAAGAAGGAGACAUAACUAGAAUGAUUGUUAAAACUAGGAGAGAAUAUGAUGAUGAAAAUUGUAAAAAGAUUGAAAAGAACUUCAAGGCCAAAAAAUUAUUGGUUGAUGGGAUAGGACUAGAUGAAUACAAUUCUUGUGAGAAUGCCAAAGAGAUCUGGGACUGCCUGAGAACAGAUCAUGAAAGAGCAACUGAUGUAAAUGAAUCAAAAGUGGAUAUGUUGACCACUUAGUAUGAAGUCUUCCUUAUGAAGGAGGGUAAAACUAUUCAAGAGAUGCACACAAGAUUUACUUCAAUCACAAAUAAGUUGCAUUGCCUUGCUGAAGUUAUUUCCCUGCAUAAACAAGUAAGGAAAAUUUUGAACUUCUUCCUAAGUCAUGGGAGAGAAAAGUUGAUGCUAUCUCUGAGGCUAGAAAUUUAAAGAUACUCACUAUGGAUGAAUUAAUUGGGAACUUGAAAAUUCAUGAGUUGAAAAAACAAAGGUCAAGAAAAGAAGGAGGUUAAAAGAGAAAGUCACUAGCCUUAAAAGCUUCAAAGUCUGAGUCCAGUGAUGAAGAUAUUGAUGUUGAUUACUUAGAUAAAAGGAUUGUGGAGGUCAUGAAGAAAAAUGGUCAAUUGCAAAGAAGAGAAAACAACAGUAGAAAAAGAGCACUAUUGAAGUUUAUCACAAAUAAUCAGAAGGAGAUAACAGAAAAUAGAAGGACCAGGUCCUCAAGAAGUCAAGAAGGAAAGUAGUUGUUGAUUAUGUAGUUAACAAAGCCCUAACUAUCUAGGAGAUACCUCAAGUGAAUCUGAUGAAUCCGAAAAGAUUGAUGAUACUUCUAUGUUAGCUGUGGAAGUAAUGAAAUAUCCUACAACUCUCUUUUUGUUCUCAUGGUAAAAUCAGAUGAAUAAGUAGAGAAUGAGGUAACUCGUUUUUAUAUUAAGCAGAACUUGAAUGAUUAUUCCCCUAAGAAGAUGAAGGAAAUCGCAAAUAUCUUGAUUGAUUAUGUGUGUAAACUUAUUUAUGAGAGAGAAUUACUUAAAGAUAAGGGAGAAAAUCUAGAACAUGAAAAUUAGCCUUAAUCAUUCAGUUUUCUGAAGUAGGAGAACGGUCAUUAAAAUUAAAAUCUGAAAACAAGGAUUUGAUGGAUAAACUAAAGAAGAUAGUUGAGUCUAAUGAGAAGGUAAAAAAAAAGCUUUAAAUUUAUCUUGAAGAAAAGUUGAAGAAUUCUCAAAAGCUUCUUAUGACUGCACUCCAUAAUAAUGAAGAAUUAGAAAGGACCUGGUCCGUAUAAAAGAAGAUCUUAAAAAAUCUAUAAAAUGUACCACAUCUUCACAAAUCCUUACAAAUCUAACCAGUCAGGGUAUCAAUAAUUAUAAAGGUCUUGGGUAUCUGUACAACACUCGUGCUCUUAAGUCCCAAGGCAAACAUGUCUCUGUUUCUAAAAAUAAGGCCAAUAAUCAUUUAUGCACUCACUAUAUCGGGAAUGGUCACUUGAAGGAGAAAUGUCAGGGAUUGCUUAGAGUUAAAAUAAACGUUGCUAGAUAUGUCCAGCUAAAGCAGUAUUUCCCUAAGGGAUCUAAUUCCUUGAAAAAUUUUAAGUAGAAUAAAUUACCUAACAGGACCAAGAAAGCUCUGAUCACUCUCUUGUCUUUCUUUUGGGAACUCAGACUCAAGUGGGUUCCCAAAUUUAACAAGUGACCUCUGUAAACAGGUGGGAGUAAGAGAAGGCAGUCAAAGCCGGUUCAUGGAUAGUGGAUGCUCUAAGCAUAUAACUGGAAGAACUAACUAUUUUCUCUCACUCAAUGCACUUCAAGGUGGAGGUGUCUCCUUUGAAAAUAAAAAAAAAGAUAUAUUCAUGGUGUUGGAAAGAUAGGGAAAUCCUUAAAUCACGCCAUUGAGGAUGUGUAUUAUGUGAAUAGUUUAAAUUAUAGUAUUUUAAGUGUGUCCCAAAUCUGUGACAAAGGAAAUAAAGUGAAGUUCCUAUCUGAUGGGUGUACUUUAUCCAAUUUAAAAUUUGGGAAAGUUAUACUCAAAGCUAAAAGGUGUAAGAAUAUAUAUGUGGUUGAUUUAGACUCAGUAGCUGAUUGUGAAUUAACAUGCCUAAGUGCUCAAAGUGAAACUAUUGAUUUGUGGCACAAAAGGUUGGGAUAUGUAAGUUCCUCUCUACUUAACAAACUAAUCUCAAAGGACCUGGUCCAUGGUGUUCCAAACCUGCAGUUUUCAGAAAACAAGAUUUAUGAUGUUUGUGUCAAAGGAAAACAAACCAAAUCAUCCUUUAAGCAGAAGAAGUAGGUAAGUACCACAAGACCCCUUGAAUUAUUGCACAUGGACUUUUGUGGACCUAUCAAAGUUCAAAGUAGAGGUGGGAAAAGAUAUGUUUUUGUCAUUAUGGAUGAAUACUCAAGAUUCACUUCGACCAUAUUCCUAAAAGCUAAGGAUGAAGCUUAUGAAGUACCGGUGGUCUUUACCAAGAAAAUUUAGGUGAAGCUGAACAACAAGAUUGCAGGAUUCAGAUCUGAUCAUAAACUGAGUUUGAGAAUUUCAAAGUUGAAGAAUUCUAUGCUUAAAAAGGAAUUAGUCACAACUUCUCUGCUCCAAGAACUCUUCAACAAAAUGGAGUAGUUGAAAGGAAGAAUAGGACACUCAUAAAAUUGCUAGGACUAUGUUGAUUGAUAGUGGCCUUUCAAAAAGUUUUUGGGUUGAAGCUGUCAAUACUGUCGGUUAUAUGACCAAUAGAUACCUGACCAGAUCUCUCUUGAACAAAACUCCAUAUAAACUUAUUUUUGACAAAAAGGCGAAACUUGAUUAUUUUAGACCCUUUGGGUGCAAAUGUUUUAUUCUAAAUAAUGAAAAGAAUGAGCUUGGGAAAUUCGACUCCAAAAGUGAUGGAGUUGCAUUUGUAGGCUACUCCUCAACAAGCAUAUAGAGUCUUCAACAAAAGGACUCUGUGUAUGGAGGAAAAUGUACAUGUGAUCUUUGAUAAAUCAAGAAAGUUAAAAGAUUCUGCUGGAGGUGAAGAUUCUGUCAUGAAUGGAUUUAUUCCUAUUCAAAGGGAUGGUAUAGCUGAAGCUGAAGUUCAAGAACAUAAUGAUAGAGUUGUAGAUGAAGAAAGUGAUGGUGAAUUAGGUCCUUAGUUGCUGAAUCCAAAUUUAAAAGAGGAACAUCAAGAAAAACCUGUUCAAAAUCCUCAAGGACCUAGUCCCAACAGACCUCAGUCAAAAAGAUUAAAUUGGAAGCACAAAUCUUCUCACUACCUUGAAAAUCUGACCUCUUCCUUGGAAUCUGGAAUGCAAAGAAGAGCUCAAGCUUCUUGUCAUAGGUUGAGCAUAAGUAUGUAAAAAAUCCCUAAAAGAUGCUGACUAGAUUAAUGUUAUGCAAGAACAACUUCAACAAUUUGAAAGGAGCAAAGUUUGACACCUGGUCUCCAAGCAUAUUGACAAAACAAUCAUUGGGAUAAAAUGGGUGUACAGAAACAAACAAGAUGAACAUGACACUAUCAGUGGAAAUAAAGCAAGAGUUGCUAUUCAAGGAUAUAAUUAGGAGAAAGGUAUUGACUAUGAUGAGAUCGUUACUUCUAUUGCAAGGAUGGAAGUAAUUAGAAUUCUUAUUGCUUUUGCUGCUUAUAUGGGUUUCAAACUCUUCCAAAUAGAUGUCAAGAGUGCCUUUUUAAAUGGUAGUUUGAAAAAAGAAAUUUAUGUUAAACAACCUCUAGGUUUUGAGGAUUUUGAUUUCCUACAUCAUGUUCUGAAGCUGGAUAAGGCUCUCUAUAGGUUGAAGCAGGCACCUAGAGCUUGGUAUGAGAGACUAUCAAAGUUUCUUCUGAAAAAUAGUUUUAAAAGGGGAAAAUUAAAAAUACCUUCUUUCUGAAGCCCAAAGGGAACAACUUGAUAAUUGUGCAAAUCUAUGUUGAUGACAUAAUCUUUGAAGUAACCUCUAAAUCUCUAUGUUGAGAAUUUGCCAAAUUAAUGGUGAGUGAGUUUGAAAUGAGCAUGAUAGGUGAAUUGAGCUUCUUCCUAAGGCUUCAAAUUUAAAAGAUAUCCCAAGGUACAAUGAUUUGUCAAGAAAAAUAUAUCAUAGAGCUACUGAAUAAAUACAAUAAGUGAGAUGUCAAGCCAAUUGAUACUUCCAUUAGAACCAAUUCAAAGAUAGACAAUGAUGAACAUGGUCCUCAAUUAAUGGGACCAUGUAUAGAGAAAUUGUUGGAGCCUUAUUAUACCUCACUGCUAGCAGGCUAAAUAUUGUGUUUAGUGUUAGUAUGUGUGCUAGAUUUCAGACAUGUCCAAAGGAGUCUCAUUUAAAAGCAGCCAAGAGAAAUUCUCAAGCAUCUGAAAGGGAUAGGGGACUUGAUCCUAUUUAUCCAUCUAAAUAGAUUAGGUUAUGCUGAUGCUGAUUAUGUUGGGUACUUGGUGGACAUAAAGAUUACCUCAGGAAUGGCUCAUUUCCUUGGACCCUCUCUAAUUUUCUGGGGAUCUAAGAAACAAAAUUCAGUUGCACUAUCUACUAUUGAAGUUGAAUAUGUUGCUGCAACUUCUUGUUGCGUUCAAUUUUUAUGGAUCAAACAGCAACUGGAGGAUUUUAGGAUUGUCUCUGAUCCUAUUCCCUUGAUGUGUGGCAAUAUAAGUUCUCUAAACAUGGCUAAAAACCCAGUGCAACAUAAAAGGCCAAAGCAUAUUGACGUGAGGCAUCAUUUACUGAGAGAUAAUAUUUAAAAAGGAGCCAUUUGCAUGAAUUCUAUAAGACUAAGGAUCAGGUAGCUGACAUCUUCAUAAAGGUUCUUCAUAAGGAACAAUUUUUGAAGAAUAGGCUGAGGUUGGGUUUGAUCAAGAUGAAUUAACCUACUUGGUAGAUCAAGUUCUUCAAUUCAUUGGCUAUGAUUAGAAGAUAGGUAUCCUUGAUGUGCUUUUUAGUGUAACUCAGUACCAUACCAUUUUAGGUAUACACGCAUGGUAAAACCACUUUAAAGGAAACAGAUGAAAUAGACACAAUAUAAAAUAUUCACUCAAGCAAGGGAGGGACCUGGUCCCGUACCAUAGGUUAGUAUCAUUAAUGUGCACUUUAAAAAUAUAUAAAUUUUUGUCUGAAAAAGCCAUAUUUUUCCCUUCUCUAUCUGAAAGUUGUCAAAUCCUCUGAAAAAUGAAGAGUUGCACCUAUUGUGACCAGAAACAUCCUAUACCCUUUAAUCUCAAAUGUUGCAAUCUUUUCUUCCUUUAAAUACAAAAUCAAAUUCCCUUUUCCACUCACUUUUCCAAAAUUAACUUUUAAACUUUUCUCUCUCAAAAGCAAUUUUUUUCCUAUUCUAAAAAAAUUAUCUUUCCUUAUUUUAAAUAAUCUAUUAAAAUUUCAAAUGACUAACAAAACCUCGUCCUUAAGAACCUCAUAUGAAGCCGAGUCUGUCCAAACCUCUUCUCUUCUCUCUAAAAUACCAAUUAUUGAGUCGUCUUCCUUACUUGUCACUAAGGAAGGAUCUACCAUGGAAGAAUCCGUAAAAAUAGUAAAACCUACCUCUAAGACAGUUGUUAUGGUUGACCAAAGUGAAGUCUAUGGGUCAUCCAUAGAAGUUGAGUUCCCUCAAAACCCCGUUCCUUUAGAAAAACUAGAAAGACUAACUAUUCUGAAACUCUGAACGAAUCUGGUUCUCCCACCCUUUUUGAUUCAAACCCUAUCCUUUCCCAAUUGAUGAAGAUCUACCAGUAAAAAAAUCAAACUCCGCUAGUAGUGAGUUAGCUGAGGAGGAUUAGGUUGGUGAGAACUCAAUUUUGCUGUCAAAUUACCCCAGGGACAGUUUUAUAGGGCUGGAGAAAAUAAGUUGUUGGCGAUGAAAAUAUUCUCCCCACAGGUGAUUUAUCUUCUAAGGACGAUGAGCCUAUUGGUUCAUUUAUUCCAUCUCCUAAUAAAGAUGAGGAUGACUUGCUUUUAAGGUGGUCAGUACAAAAACAAAGAGGCAGCAAAGGAAAGGGUAAAGUGGAGGAAACAGGGAAAGUAACUAAAACUUACGCAACAAGUAGUGUUGAAAAUAAGCUCAGGGGGGAUGUUAUAAAGGCAAAUAAGUCUGGAACUAUUAAAAGAAGAAGGUUAAAGAGGGGGAUUGUUAUUAAGGAAGAAAAUGUAAAAGUGGUUAAAGUUAGUGAAGAAGAGGAAGAGAUUGAUAUUGAUACUGCUACUGCAACAGAAAAAAGGAAGAAAGAAGUUCAAGAUGAAGGAAGGACCAGGUCCUUCCCAAAAAAAUUAAGGAGUCCCAUCGGUAUGAAACAAAAACACAGAGAUGUGAAAAAGAAAGAAAGUAACUCGGAGACCUGGUCCCAAGAAGAGAAAAAUGGCUGAAUAAAAACCAGGUAGUCGUUAUAAAAGAAAAAAAGUGGAGCAAGUAGAGAAGAGUUGACUUGGGAAAAAAGAAAUGAGUCUGAGAACUUAGAAGGUAUUGACUGGGAGAGUCUUUGACUCUAGGAUUUUUUAGAAACCUGAUAUGGUGGAGUUAGUUGAGUAUGUUAGACAUCAGGUUGCGCCUCCUAGAGGAACCAGUUCCCUCUGUCUUUGAAGGUGAAGCAAGGUAAUUCUACUAUACAAUAAAGUUCUCAAGUGAUGGACUAAGCUUAACUGCUUUAGUUCAAGGGAAGAAACUGAAAUUAGAUGAAGAGAUUCUUGGAAAAAUUCUAGAUGUUCCCAUAAUUAGAGUUAGGAUUGUGUUAAAUCAACACCCCUCAACAAAAUUCAUGGUUGAUGCUAGGGGUGUACAAACCGAACCGUUAAGCCAAACCGAACCAAUGAAUCAAACCAAACCGAGGAAAAAAACUGACUUAUAGUUUGGUUUGAUUGGUUUGGUGUUGGUAAAAAAAAUUGAUCAUUCUUGGUUUGGUUUGGUAUUAGAAAAAAUAAAAUCAAACCGAACCGACGUAAUACAUAUAUAAUUUUAUUUUUUAAUACGUAAAAAAAUAUUACUUAUAAUCUACUUUCUGAUUACUUUUAUUAUUUUUCUUAUAUUCAGAAAAUAGAUAUAUGUAUAUAUAUUCUUGGGCCUUUACUUAUAGUAUUUUUCCAUUAAUAACAAAUUAAUACAAAGCCCAAUAUCUAUAUCUAUAUUUAUAUCUGUAUCUAUAUCUAUAUCUAUAUCUAUAUCUAUAUCUAUAUCUAUAAUCUAUAANNNNNNNNNNNNNNNNNNNNNNNNNNNNNNNNNNNNNNNNNNNNNNNNNNNNNNNNNNNNNNNNNNNNNNNNNNNNNNNNNNNNNNNNNNNNNNNNNNNNNNNNNNNNNNNNNNNNNNNNNNNNNNNNNNNNNNNNNNNNNNNNNNNNNNNNNNNNNNNNNNNNNNNNNNNNNNNNNNNNNNNNNNNNNNNNNNNNNNNNNNNNNNNNNNNNNNNNNNNNNNNNNNNNNNNNNNNNNNNNNNNNNNNNNNNNNNNNNNNNNNNNNNNNNNNAAAAAAACACGUCCCACCUCAAAAAGAGAAAAAAAUAAGUAGUGUCAGAUUGUAGUUAGCAUACGACCUAAUUUCUUUCUUUUAAGUAUGGUUUUUGAUUUAAUUAGGAGUCCUUAAUUUUCUUUUCUUUUAAGUUUCAUUUGUCUUGAUUUUCUAUAAUAAUUAUUUUUUUAUGAAAAAAGUUUCUCAAAUUAGAUUAGAUUUCUUCCAUGUUUCAUCCUCUUUCUUAAAAGGAAAAAAAAUUGUACAUCUAUAUAUUGAGCAUUCCUUUUUUCCAAUAAAUUAUAGAAUAACAUUCACAAUUUAAUUGUUAAAGAGUAUUUUCAAGAGAAGAUUAGUUUUAUGUUCUUUAAUAUUAGUUUUUAAUUUGUAGGUCAACAAUAUUAAAUAUUAUGCAUCUUUUAUUAACGUUUUUUUAUCAUAUGAUUUAUUAUAAUUUCAAUUGUUAGCUUUCGCAUGAUGUGCAGGUAAAGAAAAAUUAUGUGAGUGUGUGGUUGAGACUUCGUGCCGAUUAUGAGAGGAUUUAAAGGUAUGUUUUUUUUUAAAAAAAAAUUAUUUCUCAUUCAUAUCGGUACGAUUUAUGUUGUUAAGGCAUUGAUUAGAAGUGCACGUUUUGCUCUUUGAUUCGAUUUUAUCAAAUUUCAAUUCAAUUUUUUGAUUUACAAUUUUAAAAAGUAGACAUCGAACACCGAAUCGAACUAUUUCAGUUUGGUUCAUUUUCUUUCAACCUUGUUUUUAUUUGAUUCGGUGUUCAAAAAUAUUUAAACUUUUUGUCCUUCGUUAAAAGUGUCUGCUUUAGACAAAAUUAUUUCUUCAAUAUUUAAGAAUUGAAAAUUUAUCAAAUAUUUUAGUAAAAUAUAUGUUAUAUUUGCGCUAUUUUAUCAAAGUGUGAAGGAUCUUUGAGAAGUGAUUUAAAUUUUUUGCUCUUCAUUAAAUUUUUUUGCAAUAAAUAAAAUUAUCUAAUUUUAAAUAAUCAAAUGUUACACGUGCGGCCUCGGGAGUGUUGUGUGAUAAAAAGGUGCCGCCCAAACUUAAAGGUAAAUUCUACAGAGUGACAGUCCGUCCGGCCAUACUGUAUGAAGCGGAGUGUUGGCCAGUCAAGAACUCCCAUAUUCAAAAACUGAAGGUGGCAGAAAUGCGGAUGUUGCGUUGGAUGUGUGGGCUUACUAGGGAUGAUAGAGUUAGGAAUGAGACUGUCUGAGAGAAGGUUGGUGUGGCUUCGGUGGAGGACAAGAUACGGGUAGUUCGGUUGAGAUGGUUCGGGCAUAUGAUGAGAAGAGGCACGGAUGCCCCAGUUUGUAGAUGUGAGAGGUUAGCUUUGGAUGGUUUCAGGUGGGUAGGGGUAGGCCAAAGAAAUAUUGGAGAGAGGUGAUUAGACAUGACAUGGAGCAGUUACAGCUUACUGAGGACAUGAUCCUAGAUAGAAAGGUUUGGAGGACACGAAUUAGGAUAGAAGGCUAGUGCAUGCGGGAGGGUCGUAGUUAGUAAUUAAGGGAGCGUCGGUAUAGGGGGUGCCUUUGGUUCGUUAGCGUAGGGUAUUACUUUAUGGGUGUCUUAUUUCUGUUGUUCCAUCUUGUUUCAUGUUUUUACUAUAAAUUUAUUUAUUACUCAUUGUCUUGAGCCGGGGGUCUAUCGAAAACAGCCUUGCUACUUCUUCGGAGGUUGUGGUGUGGACUGCGUACAUCUUACCCUCCCCAGACCCCACUGUGUGGGAAUACACUGGGUUUGUUGUUGUUGUUGUUGAAAUCUUACACGCGCGAGACACGUGGGGUUUAACUAGUUAAUAUAAAAACCUAAAACUCUUUAAUUUCUUCACUUUUUACAUUUUACUUUCCAAGUUUUUAGAGAGUUCUCAUUAUUUUCUCAUCUUAAUUUUCUCAUUCGUCAAGUUGUGAUUUAGGUCUGUUUCUCUUCUUUCACUUUUUUUUUAUGGAAUUAUGUUAUAAUUAAUUACUUUUUGGAGUUAAGUUUUUAAUAAGUUGUCUCCAAUUCUUCAUUCUUUUGUGUGCUCACAUUUUAUGUGAAGAAAACUUUUAAACAAGCUACUGUGUCUAGUAACUUAGAAAUUGAACUACUUAGGUAUCCACAUAAUAUUACUUUGAGAGAUAGUAGUUUAGACGUCUUAGUAAUUUGCCAACUUAAUUUUUAUUGAAACUACUCUAUGACCUUUUUUUUUAAUCUUUUUAGUGAAAAUAUUUAAUUUUUUUCUUCAAUCACAUUAUAAUUGUAAAAAAACUGAGAAAAUCGAAAAAUCGAAAAAAUCUGACUAAAACCAAUAUAAAAAAACCGAUUGUAUAUCGGUUUGAUUUGGUUUAGAGAUUUAGAAAAUCGAUGUUAUUGGUUUGGUUAUAUUUUAAUAAAAAACUGAACCAACCCGACCUAUGCACACCCCUAGUUGAUGCUUUAAAAAUAGGACAAUAGCUUCUACUGUGGAUCUGUAUGUGAUUGAGUGUCUGAGCAAGUUCAAACUUAUCGGUUUGCCUGCUUUAAUGAUAAAGCACAUGUAUAAGGUUAUCUAUGCUAAGAAAGGAAAACAUGGCAUACCUUAUGAAUAUUUCCUAAACAGGGUAUUUGAUCACUUUGGGGUUGUUGGUGAAAAGGAGACUCCUGAAACUGCAAAGCAGAUGUUCACUCUGACAACCUUGAUUGAAAAUGAAUAUGUAGAAGGAAAAGUAGGGACCAUGUCCAAGGUGUCAGAAUUGUUAUUAGCUAAGAAAAGAUUGAGCAAAGAGGUGGAGGAAAUGAGGAUCGAUUUAGCUGCUAAGAAUGUAGAGAUAAUACAGUUAAAGAUAGGGAACCAAUAGCUUUCCACUGAGGGACCAGGUGUUGCUGAAGCACUUAGAACAGAAAAUGCAGAACUCAACCUAAGGUCUCAGCACUCACACAGGAGGUUCAAGGGUUGAAUGCAAAAGUAAAGGACUUCACUAAGCAACUGUUGAACUCUCACGCUACAGAGAGUUCUAGGAUGAAAUUGUUGCUUAAGUCCCUCUCCCCUAAAUAUCCAUCUACCUAAGACUCUCCACCCCCCCUUUGUUUCCUAUUGGAACCCGGUGUUAGUUUCCCCUUGUUAUUUCUAAUGGCUUUUUAGGUUCAAGAAUUUUAUGUUAAUUUUAAUUGUAUUGUAUGGUGUUUGCCUAUCUUUAAUGAUUGAAAUCAUAUUUUGUGCCUAUCAACUAUUUCUCAUUCUUUAAGUUGUUGAUUCAUGUUAGUGUGGCCCCAGUGGGCAUGAGUUAACCAAUUUGUGCUUAAUCCUACCUUGGUUUACUGUUCUUACUUUUUUAUGAUGCCAAAAGGAGGAAAUUGAAUUUACUAUAAUAGGGACCAGGUACCAUAAGUAAUGAAUAUUGGAGUAUUGAUGAUGGGGUAAUAGCUAUAGGGGGAACACACACUGAUGCUAUUGUGAUGUGUGUGAUAAGAGAGAGAGGGAGUAAAGAGAUACUACUGAUAGGGGGAAUGUUGGUGUAUGUGUAGAUGUAGUUACUCUAAAUCUAAAUGAAUUUUGAUGCUUCGUGGACAUGGUUUUUCAUUAUCAUAAAGGGAAAAAUUAUUGUCUCAUGUUUUGAUUAUGACUGAAUGAUAUCAGAGGACUAGGUACCUCGCCUACUUUGCCCAGGUACAUCUGUCAUACUCUGCACAAUUUUAUCCACUAGUACAAUAAUUGUGCAGGUGCACCGCAUACCAGAAUGGACUCCUGGUCCAAUCAAAAUUCUAUCACUCAAUUCUAUAUUACCAGAAAUACAUAAGGAUGCUCUUUCCUCUAUAGUUUUUGAAAGUUAAAGAACCUCAUGGUGGGGGCGAAAACUCUCUCUAAGAUCAAGUUCUAAUCUC
rnacentral:lncRNA from 1 species